rnacentral:lncRNA from 1 species
UGUUUUUUUUUUGUAGAUCAUGAUGAGAUAUCUUUGUUCCUUUCAGUCGACUGAUCGGAUCAAGUCGAUAAAACUAGUGGGGGCAUGCUGAGUGCACCCACUGGGUGUAGUCCUCGAGACUACUGUUGAAUAUUUUGAUUUGACUAUAGUCUUAGAAAUGCUACGGUUUUUCUCUUAGUUACUCGGAAGCAACCUCUCUUUGAUAUCUGUCGACUGACUCUUUGACAGAAAUCUUGCGAGCUUGUGGCUCGCUAUACUGAAUUGGAAAACAAACAUUUCCAGCUCGACCUUGACUUGAAGCUUGUUCAGGAGAACUUCCAGAAGGCAAAGGAUGAAGCAAAAGGUAUGAUUGGUGAGAACUUAAUGACUGUUCUUAUCCUUCUGCCCAUUCUUGAUUCUGAUCUCAUUGUUAUUUUGCAGAUAAAACGAAGGAGGCUCUGAAGAAGAAGGACCAGGAACUUGCCGAAGCGCAGAAGGCGGCUUUGGAUAAAACGAAGCUUGCGGAAGAGAAGCUGGCUUCAGUCGGUAAACUUGAAGAGGAGAACGCCAACCUGAAAGCUGCUCUCGACGCGGCCAACAAGGAAGUCAGCCGUCUGAAGAAUGACAAGAUUGAUAUGAGUGAUAAGGCUAGUGAACUGGUGGGGAAGAAGAACGAUUUGUAGGCUUAUCUGGGAGGGCUCGCCAAGAAGUUAUUCAUCAUGCUUGAGGGUAAUCUCUCAUGUCCAACUGUCUUGUAAUCACUGACUUAUCAUAGAACUGCUGGCUCAUCUUUGAGUUGUGUUUACAGAAUUCUGCCAAAACUUCGAGGAGGAGACCAGUCGAGUGGAGACAGGCUUGGAUCCCAUCAAAUCUCCUGUGAAGGACGAAACUGCCAUGAACUUGCUCCGACUGGAGUCUCGUGUUGCUGGUGUGGUCGACUAUCUUGCUCGACUGAAGGUUGCGGCGUCGCGGAUCGACACGACACUCUGGCCGAGAGAGACGCUUCAAAAUGACCUCGAGUCUCUGAUGACUCGACUGAAUGAAGUUCCAUGUCGAGUGCAAGAAUGGAAGAAGUCUUCUGCCAGGUGUGGUGCUGAUGUUGCUCUGUCUCUGGUCCGCGUUCACUACAAGGAUGCGCGAGAGGACAAGCUGGCAUCCCUCAAAGUGGCCAAUACCAAGAAGCAUGAGUUCCAAUCUUUCAUGGAGACCUUCAUUGCUGCUGCCACUCAGAUUGCAGAUGGAAUCGACGUGGACCAGUUUGUCGCGCCUUCCAGUCCUCCACCGAAGGAGUAACAAACUUCUAUGCUUGAUGCCUUAUAUUUGCCUCGGAAUGCCGAGUGGUUUUGUAACCGAUAAAACUUUUACAGCCUUGAUGCCUGAGCACUUCUGAAUCCGUAGGAUGCUAUUUGAACUUGACUUUGCCGUUGAAUAUAUUUGCAUUUACCUUCGAGCAAACAUUGUUCUUCACUCGGAAUAUAUUUUAGUGCUUGUGACGUACUCUUGCAGGUUGGAGCACAGAUUGCAGUCGACCUGCGUCCUUGCGGGUCGGGUUGGAGUGCACAUUGUAUUUGUGGCAGAGCUCCGAAGGAGAAGGUAGCGGUCGACCUAUACCUCGUCGUCCUUGCAGAGCGCACAUUGUAUUUCUGCCGUAGCUCUGAAGGAGAAGGUAGCAGUCGACCUGCACCUUGUCGUCCUUGCAGAGCGCACAUUGUAUUUGUGCCGUAGCUCCAAAGGAGAAGGUAGCAGUCGACCUGCACCUUGUCAUCCUUGCAGAGUGCACAUUGUAUUUGUGUCUUAGCUCCGAAAGAGAAGGUAGCAGUCGACCUGCACCUCGUCGUCCUUGCAGAGCGCACAUUGUAUUUGUGUCGUAGCUCCGAAGGAGAAGGUAGCAGUCGACCUGCACCUCAUCGUCCUUGCAGAGCGCACAUUGUAUUUGUGCCAUAGCUCCGAAGGAGAAGGUAGCAGUCGACCUGCACCUCGUCAUCCUUGUGGAUCGGAAUGAAUUUCAUACUUAGGCUAGUACUGGACUGCAUCUAAGCCCCCGAGUGGGAGGAUUGCUCUCCACUCGAUAGGAUUUUCAAACACUUAGGCGAGUACUGGACUGCAGCUAAGCCCCCGAGUGGGAGGAUUUCUCUCCACUCGGUAGGAUUUUCAAACACUUAGGCGAGUACUGGACUGCAGCUAAGCCCCGAGUGGGAGGAUUGCUCUCCACUCGGUAGGAUUUUCAAACCCUUAGGCGAGUACUGGACAGCAGCUAAGCCCCCGAGUGGAAGGAUUGCUCUCCACUCGGUAGGAUUUUCAAACACUUAGGCGAGUACUGGACUGCAGCUAAGCCCCCGAGUGGGAGGAUUGCUCUCCACUCGGUAGUAUUUUCAAACACUUAGGCGAGUACUGGACUGCAGCUAAGCCCCCGAGUGGGAGGUUUGCUCUCCACUCGGUAGGAUUUUUGUAUUUGUGGCGUAGCUCCGAAGGAGAAGGUGGCAGUCGACCUGCACCUCGUCGUCCUUGCAGAUCGGAAUGGAUUAGAUACUUAGGUGAGUAUUGGACUGCAGCUAAGCCUCCGAGUGGGAGGUUUGCUCUCCACUCUGUAGGAUUUUCAAAUACUUAGGCGAGUACUGGACUACAGCUAAGCCCCCGAGUGAGAGGCUUGCUCGCCACUCGGUAGGAUUUUCAAAUACUUAGGCGAAACGGAUUCGCAGCUAAGCCCCCGAGUGAGAGGCUUGCUCGUCACUCGGUAGGACUUUCAAAUACGUAGGCGAAAAGGAUUCGCAGCUAAGCCCCCGAGUGAGAGGCUUGCUCGUCACUCGGUAGGAAAUUUUUUACAAAGUUAGGCGAAACGGAUUCGUAGCUAAGCCACCCAAUAGGGGAUUUCUUACAUAAGAAAAGCAACAACAAUCACUGGGAAAAUUAUAACACUCUUGUCUUUGAUAAGAAAACUACAGGAGUACUUUUAUUAUAACUCAUCCGAGUGAGUACUUAAGUGUAAAAGGGGCGGAGCAGGUCUGCAUUCCAAGAUCAUGGCUCAUCAAUCUGGCGGCCGAUAUUGUAAAGACGGUAUGCUCCAUUGUGGAGAACUUUUGUGAUGAUGAAGGCGCCCUCCCAAGUAGGGGCGAGUUUGUGUGGCUUCUGUUGAUCCACUCAGAGGACCAAGUCCCCUUCUUGGAAGACUCGACUCUUCACGUUUCUAGCAUGGAAACGACGCAAAUCCUGCUGAUAGAUGGUCGAUCGGAUCAAGGCCAUCUCUCUUUCUUCUUCUACAAGGUCGACUGCGUCUUGCCGGGCUUGUUCUGCUUCAUCUUCAGAGUAGAUCUCGACUCGGGGUGCAUUGUGAAGCAGGUCACUCGGCAGAACUGCUUCAGCUCCAUAGACCAGGAAGAAUGGAGUUUACCCAGUCGACCGAUUAGGAGUAGUCCUCAAUCCCCAAAGAACUGAUGGAAGUUCGUUGACCCACGCGCCUGCUGCGUGUUUGAGAUCACGCAUCAACCAGGGUUUCGUUCCUUUGAGAAUUAGGCCGUUUGCUCUUUCUACUUGUCCACUCGACUGGGGGUGAGCAACGGAAGCGUAGUCGACUCGCGUGCCUUGAGAAGCGCAAAAAGCUUUAAAUUGGUCGGAAUCGAAGUUAGAACCAUUAUCAGUGAUGAUGCUAUGCGGAACUCCAUAUCUGAAUAUCAACUCUCUGAUGAAGCUGAUAGCAGUGCCGACAUCAAGAUUCUUGAUAGGCUUGGCUUCGAUCCACUUAGUGAACUUGUCGACUGCCACCAGUACGUGGGUGAAGCCGCUCCUGCCAGUUCUCAGUGGUCCAACCAUAUCAAAUCCCCAAACAGCAAAGGGCCAGACGAGUGGAAUGGUCUUCAAAGCUGAGGCGGGCUUGUGUGACAUAUUGGAGUAGAACUGACAUCCUUCACACUUGUCGACUAUCUCUUUCGCCAUUUCAUUUGCUCUGGGCCAGUAAAGACCCGCUCGGUAUGCUUUAGCCACAAUACUACGACAGGACGCAUGAUGGCCACAGGUCCCCUAGUGGAUAUCGUCAAGAAUUAUCCAACCUUCUUCUGGCGUUAUGCAUUUCUGACUGGCUCCAGUUGCGCUUUCCCUGUACAACUGCCCCUUCAUCACAGUGAAGGCCUUGGAUCAACGGACGAUUUGUUGAGCCUCUUCUUCAUUCUCUAGGAGCUCUUUCCUUAGGAUAUACGCGAUGUACGGCACUGUCCAGUCGGGAGUGAUAACCAAAACUUCCAUGAUCAGGUCGACCACAGCUGGGACCUCAACUUCAGUCGGAUCCAUGGCACUUUUUGGCUGCGGGGCUUCUUCGGUGAAAGGAUCCUCUUGAACUGACAGUGUGUGGAUAUGCUCCAAAAACACGCCACUGGGAAUGGCUUCUCUCUUGGAACCUAUUUUUGCAAAAUCAUCAACCGCUUGAUUUUUCAGUCGGGGUAUAUGAUGAAGCUCUAAACCUUCGAAUUUCUUCUCCAACUUUCUUACUGCAUUGCAGUAACCAGUCAUGGCUGGGCUUCUGACGUCCCACUCCUUCAUCACUUGGUUAACCACCAAAUCUGAGUUGCCGUAUACCAUGAGGCGAUGAACGCCGAAUGAAAUGGCCAUACGCAACCCAUACAAAAGUGCUUCGUAUUCUGCUUCGUUGUUGGAGGAAUAAAAGUGAAUCUGGAGUACAUAUCUGAGCUUAUCUCCUCGGGGGGAAACCAACACUACCCCAGCACCGGAACCAUUCAGCAUCUUAGAGCCAUCAAAGAACAUGGUCCAGUGCUCCGAGUGAACUUGAGACGGCAGUUGCUGUUCAGUCCACUCGGCGAUGAGAUCUGCUAUUGCUUGGGACUUGAUAUCUUUCUUUGCCUCAAAUCUGAUAUCCAGGGGAAGGAGUUCAAUCGCCCAUUUUGCCACUCGACCAGUUGCAUCUUUGUUGUGCAGAAUCUCUGACAAUGGGGCAUUGCUGACGACUGUAAUGGUAUGGUCAGAGAAGUAAUGAGCAACUUUCUUCGUGGUCAUAUAAAUCCCAUAUACAAGCUUUUGAUAAUGAGGGUAUCUUUGCUUUGAUGGGGUCAGAACUUCAGAAAUAUAAUAUACUGGGCGCUGAACUUUAAAGGCUUUUCCCUCUUCUUCCCGCUCGACCGUAAGAACUGUACUGACGACUUGUCCUGUGGCUGCAAUGUAAAGCAGCAAAGGAUCUUUGCUGAUCGGGGCAGCAAGCACCGGCUGGGUGGAAAGCAGGGCUUUUAGCUCUGCAAAUGCUGCAUCAGCAUCAGGAGUCCACUCGAACUUGUCUGACUUCUUCAUCAGUCGGUAAAGAGGCAAUGCCUUUUCACUGAGACGAGAGAUGAAUCGACUUAAAGCGGCCAAGCAACCAGUAAGCUUCUGAACAUCAUGCACACGCACAGGUCUUUUCAUUCGGAGUAUAGUGCCCACUUUCUCUGGAUUUGCGUCGAUUCCUUGUUCGGAAACAAGAAAACCGAGUAAUUUUCCGCCAGGAACUCCGAAUGUGCACUUUGAUGCAUUACGCUUGAUAUCAUACCUCCUGAGGUUGGCAAAUGUUUCAGCAAGGCCAAUCAGCAGGUCGGAACCUUUCCGUGACUUGACCACAAUAUCAUCCAUGUACGCUUCCACAUUCCAACUGAUUUGAGUGAGCAAACACUUCUGAAUCAUCCUCAUGAACGUGGCUCCGGCAUUCUUGAGGCCGAAUGGCAUGGUGACAUAACAGAAGCACCCGAAUGGGGUGAUGAAAGCUGUUUUGAUCUCAUCGGGUCCAUACAGACGGAUCUGAUGGUACCCGGAAUAGGCGUCUAAGAAAGACAAUCGCUCACAUCCCGCAAUCGAGUCGACUAUUUGGUCGAUACGAGGGAGAAAAAAAUGAUCUUUCGGGCAGGCCCGAUUGAUAUGUUUAAAUUCAAUGCACAUGCGAAGUGACUUGUCCUUCUUGGGGACCAUGACAACAUUGGCGAGCCACUCGGAGUGGUAAAUUUCUCGGAUAAACUCUGCUGCUAAGAGCCGAGCCACCUCCUCGCCAAUGGCCUUCCUUUUCUGGACGGCAGACCGUCGCAGAUGUUCUUUGACAGGUUUCGCUUUUGAGUCGACUCGUAGACGGUGCUCAGCCAGCCCCCUGGGAACACCCGACAUGUCAGAAGGUUUCCAUGCGAAGAUGUCCCAGUUCUCAUGGAGGAACUGGAUGAGCGCUUCUUCCUAUUUGGGGUCGAGCGCUGUAGAGAUAUUAGUCGGAGCAGCAUUGGGGUCGGUUGGGUGAAUGUGAAUCGGUUUCGUCUCACCAGACGACUGAAACGCUGAUUCCGUAGCGGGCUUGUUAGCUCGCAACAAAUCACUCGGAUCUGCAUUUUUCUGGUGCUCCUACCACUCUUCUGCUACCAUCUGAGCAUCGGUGAUCUUUGAGCCUUUCUGAAAGCACUCUUCCGCCUUUUUCCAAUUGCCAGUAACAGUGAUCACACCUUUGGGGUCACGCAUCUUCAGUUUGAGAUACACGUAACAUGGUCGACCAAUAAAACGUGCAUAAGCUGGCCUUCCCAAAAUAGCGUGAUAGGCACUCUGGAAAUCCACAACUUCAAAUGUCAAUUUUUCUUUGCAGAAAUUUUUGGAAUCACCAAAAACCACAUCAAGAGCAAUCUGGCUGAGUGACGCAGCCUUCUUUCCAGAAAUGACUCCAUAGAAACUCAUGUUGCUGGUAUUGAGUCUGGACAUCGGAAUGCCCAUCCCUUUCAGUGUCUCUGCGUACAAUAUAUUCAAGCUACUGCCACCAUCCAUCAACACUUUAGUCAGUCAAGCGCCUUUGACGACUGGGUCGACCACCAGAGCUUGCCUCCCAGGCGUGGCUAUGUGUGUCGGGUGAUCAGACUGGUCGAACGUGAUGGCAGUCUGAGACCAUUUCAGAUAAUUGGGUGUCUCCGGAGCCACCAUAUUCACUUCUCGGUUGAUAACUUUCAAUCGACUUUUGCUUUCAACGUCAGCAAAAAUCAUCAGGAUGGAAUUAACCUGGGGAUAUCCAUCAUUACUAUCCUCUUUGUCCUCAACUUUGUCCAACUCCUUUUCCUUAUCUUUGGGUUGUUUCCCUGGAAUUGCUGGAUCAAGAGCCGACACUGUCGAGUGGUAUGUUUCGGGUAAAUGAAGUUACCCUCUUCAUCUUUCUUUGUGUGGAUGUGGCAUAGCAAAUCCACCACGUCAUUUCCCUCCUUGUCUUUUACCUUCUUAGGGUUCCAAGGACUUUGGGCUUCCCCUUAAACUUUCCUUGAGUCACGGCCAAGGCUUCUCCAGGAGCAGCUGGCUCGGCUUUCCGCAUCUGCUUCCAACUGGAGUUCCCUCCUCCGGUUUCGUGGGCGACUGACUUGUGCUUCCCACUCCGGAGCCGAUCUUCUUCUUCACCAUUGGCAUACUUGGUGGCUAUCUCCAUCAUUCGACUCAGAGACAUGUCUCCAGUUCGACGGAAUUUCAGGUUUAUCUCUCUGUACUUAACGCCUUCCUUGAAGGCACAGACUGCCUGGUGAUCAGAUACAUUCUCUACCGUGUGAUGCAAUGUGAUUCAUCUCUGGAUGUAAUCUCUCAAAGUCUCAUUCGACUUAUGUACACAAGUUUGCAGCUCCUUCAGUCCUGCUGGUCGCUAGCAAGUUCCUUCAAACAUUCCGACAAACAAUCGGGAAAGAUCUUCCCAAGUGUAAAUACUGCUGGGUGCCAACUAAUUUAGCCAUGCUCUGGCCGAGCCCUCCAACAUAAGAGGUAUAUGUUUCAUGGCCACCUCAUCAUUUCCGCCGCCGAUCUGAACAGCCACUCGGUAGUCUUCAUGCCAAGUAUCAGGCUUGGACUCACCGGUGAAAUUACUGACUCCAGUCGCCAACCUGAAGUUGGGAGGAAUCGCCGCGGCCCUGAUGGCUCUGCUAAAACACUCUGGUCCUAAGACAUGCACUCUGCUACUGGUGGGUACAUCUCUGUCGUGACCCUCUCGGUGAGCUCUGUUCCUAUCGACCGGACCUUGAACUGUUGGGAAACGUAGUAAUUUCAAAAUUUUCCUACGCACACGCAAGAUCAUGGUGACGUAUAGCGACGAGAGGGGAGAGUGUUGUCUACAUACCCUUGUAGACCGUAAGCGGAAGCGUUAGCACAAGGCGGUUGAUGUAGUCAUACGUCUUCACGGCCCGACCGAUCAAGAACCGAAACUACGGCACCUCCGAGUUCUAGCACACGUUCAGCUCGAUGACGUCCCUCGAACUCCGAUCCAGCCGAGUGUCGAGGGAGAGUUCCGUCAGCACGACGGCGUGGUGACGAUCUUGAUGUUCUACCGUCGCAGGGCUUCGCCUAAGCACCGCUACGAUAUUAUCGAGGUGGACUAUAGUGGAGGGGGGCACCGCACACGGCUAAGAGAUCCAAGGGAUCAAUUGUUGUGUCUUUGGUGCUAGCCCUGCCCCUCUAUUUAUAUGUUGAGCCCCGGGGUCGAAACUUGGAGCAAAAGCCUCCUCAAAGUCGGUUUUGCCCGAAAGGCAAGAGUCCCACUCGGACUCCAGGACCAAACGCCACAAUCCUUGGCGUUUGGCCCAGACGCCAUGGGCUUCGGCGUCUGGCCCAGGGCCAGACGCCAGGGUCUCCGGCGUUUGGCCCCCUGGCCUCCGCAAAACUCCUUUUGCACCGACCUAAAGCCUCAUGGGCUUGAUCCCUUGGCCUAACCGUAUCAUCCAAUAUAUGAAUCUUUACGUCUCGACCAUUUCGAGACUCCUCGUCAUGUCCCUGAUCUCAUCCGGGACUCCGAACUCCUUCGGUACAUCAAAACAUGUAAACUCAUAAUAUAACUGUCAUCGAAACCUUAAGCGUGCGGACCCUACGGUUUCGAGAACAAUGUAGACAUGACCUAGAACUAUUAUCGGUCAAUAACCAAUAGCGGAACCUGGAUGCUCAUAUUGGCUCCUACAUAUUCUACGAAGAUCUUUAUCGGUCAAACCGCAUAACAACAUACGUUGUUCCCUUUGUCAUCGGUAUGUUACUUGCCCGAGAUUCGAUCGUCGGUAUCUCAAUACCUAGUUCAAUCUCGUUACCAGCAAGUCUCUUUACUCGUUCUGUAAUGCAUCAUUCCGUAACUAACUCAUUAGCUACAUUGCUUGCAAGGCUUAUAGUGAUGUGCAUUACCGAGAGGGCCUAGAGAUACCUCUCCGACAAUCGGAGUGACAAAACCUAAUCUCAAAAUACGCCAACCCAACAUGUACCUUUGGAGACACCUGUAGUACUCCUUUAUAAUCACCCAGUUACGUUGUGACGUUUGGUAGCACCCAAAGUGUUCCUCCGGUAAACGGGAGUUGCAUAAUCUCAUAGUUACAGGAACAUGUAUAAGUCAUGAAGAAAGCAACAGCAACAUACUAAACGAUCAAGUGCUAGGCUAACGGAAUGGGUCUAGUCAAUCACAUCAUUCUCCUAAUGAUGUGAUCCCGUUAAUCAAAUGACAACACAUGUCUAUGGUUAGGAAACAUAACCAUCUUUGAUUAAUGAGCUAGUCAAGUAGAGGCAUACUAGUGACGUUAUGUUGGUCUAUGUAUUCACACAUGUAUUAUGUUUCCGGUUAAUACAAUUCUAGCAUGAAUAAUAAACAUUUAUCAUGAUAUAAGGAAAUAAAUAAUAACUUUAUUAUUGCCUCUAGGGCAUAUUUCCUUCAGUCUCCCACUUGCACUAGAGUCAAUAAUCUAGUUCACAUCGCCAUGUGAUUUAACACCAAUAUUCACAUCUGUAUGUGAUUAAUACCCAUAGUUCACAUCGUCAUGUGAUCAACACCCAUAGGGUUUACUAGAGUCAAUAAUCUAGUUCACAUCGCUAUGUGAUUAAGACCCAAAGAGUACUAAGGUAUGAUCAUGUUUUGCUCAUGAGAGAAGUUUAGUCAAUGGGUCUGUCAUAUUACAGAGUCGUAUGUAUUUUGCAAAUAUUCUAUGUCUACAAUGCUUUCAACAGAGCUACUCUAGCUAAUUGCUUCCACUUUCAAUAUGUAUCCAGAUUGAGACUUAGAAUCAUCUGGAUCGGUGUAGAAGUUUACACCGAUGUAACUUUUAUGAUGAGCUCUUUUAUCACCUCCAUAAUCGAGAAACAUCUCCUUAGUCCUCACUAAGGAUAUUCUUGACUGCUGUCCAGUGAUCUACUCUUAGAUCAAAAUUGUAUUCCUUUGCCAAACACAAAGCAAGGUAUACAAUAGGUCUGGUUCAUAGCAUAGCAUACUUUAUAGAACCUAUGACUGAGGCAUAGGGAAUGACUUUUCAUUCUCUUUCUAUUUUCUGCCAUAGUCGGGUUUUGAGUCUUACUCAACUUCACACCUUGCAACAUAGGCAAGAACUCUUUCUUUGACUGUUCCAUUUUGAACUGCUUCAAAAAAUUUAUCAAGGUAUGUACUCAUUGAAAAACUUAUCAAGCGUCUUGAUCUAUCUAUAUAGAUCUUGAUGCUCAAUGUGUAAGCAGCUUCACCGAGGUCUUUCUUUGAAAAAAUUCUUUCAAACACUCCUUUAUGCUUUCCAGAAAAUUCUACAUCAUUUCCAAUUAAUAAUAUGUCAUUCACAUAUACUUAUCAUAAAUGUGUAGUGCUCCCACUCACUUUCUUGUAAAUACAGGUCUUUCCAAAAGUCCGUAUCAAACCAUAUGCUUUGAUCAACUCAUCAAAGCGUAUAUUCCAACUCCGAGAUGCUUGCACCAGUCCAUUGAUGGAUCACUGGAGCUUGCACAUUUUGUUAGCACCUUUAGGAUUGACAAAACCUUCUGGUUGCAUCAUAUACAACUCUUCUUUAAUAAAUCCAUUAAAGAAUGCAGUUUUGACAUCCAUUUGCCAGAUUUCAUAAAAUGUGGCAAUUGCUAACAUGAUUCGGACAGACUUAAGCUUCGAUACGAGUGAGAAAAUCUCAUCGUAUUCAAUACCUUGAACUUGUCGAAAACCUUUCGCAAUAAGUCGAGCUUAGUAGAUAGUAACACUACUAUCAGUGUCCGUCUUCCUCUUGAAGAUCCAUUUAUUUAACAUGGCUUGCUGAUCAUCGAGCAAGUCAAUCAAAGUCCAUACUUUGUUCUCAUACAUGGAUCAUAUCUCAGAUUUUAUGGCCUCAAGCCAUUUCGCGGAAUCUGGGCUCAUCAUCGCUUCCUCAUAGUUCGUAAGUUUAUCAUGGUCUAGUAACAUGACUUCCAGAACAGGAUUACCGUACCACUCUGGUGCGGAUCUUACUCUGGAAGACCUACGAGGUUUUGUAGUAACUUUAUCUGAAGUUUCAUGAUCAUCAUCAUUAGCUUCCUCACUAAUUGGUGUAGGAAUCACUGGAACUGAUUUCUGUGAUGAACUACUUUCCAAUAAGGGAGAAGGUACAAUUACCUCAUCAAGUUCUACUUUCCUCCCACUCACUUCUUUCGAGAGAAACUCCUUCUCUAGAAAGGAUCCAUUCUUAGCAACAAAGAUUUUACCCUCGGAUCUGUGAUAGAAGGUGUACCCAACAAUUUCCUUUAGGUAUUCUAUGAAGACGCACUUCUCCGAUUUAGGUUCGAGCUUAUCAGGUUGAAACUUUUUCACAUAAGCAUCGUAGCCCCAAACUUUAAGAAACGACAACUUUGGUUUCUUGCCAAACCACAGUUCAUAAGGCGUUGUCUCAACGGAUUUCGAUGGUGCCCUAUUUAAAGUGAAUGCAACUGUCUCUAAUGCAUAAUCCCAAAACGAUAGUGGUAAACCGAUAAGAGAUAUCAUAGAUUGCACUAUAUCCAAUAAAGUACGGUUAUGACGUUCGGACACACCAUAACGUUGUGGUGUUCCAGGUGGCAUGAGUUUGUGAAACUAUUCCACAUUGUUUUAAUUGAAGACCAAACUCGUAACUCAAAUAUUUGUCUCCGUGAUCAAAUCAUAGAAACUUCAUUUUCUUGUUAUGAUGAUUCUCCACUUCACUCUGAAAUUCUUUGAACUUUUCAAAUGUUUCAGACUUGUGCUUCAUUAAGUAGAUAUACUCAUAUCUGCUCAAAUCAUCUGUGAAGGUCAGAAAAUAAUGAUACUUGCCGCGAGCCUCAACACUCAUCGGAUCGCAUACAUCAGUAUGUAUUAUUUCCAAUAAGUCAGUUGCUAGCUCUAUUGUUCCGGAGAACGGAGUCUUUAGUCAUCUUGCCCAUAAGGCAUGGUUCGCAAGCAUCAAGUGAUUCAUAAUCAAGUGAUUUCAAAAUCCCAUCAGCAUGGAGUUUUUUCAUGCGCUUUACACCAAUAUGACCUAAACCGCAGUGCCACAAAUAAGUUGCACUAUCAUUAUUAACUUUGCAUCUUUUGGUUUCAAUAUUAUGAAUAUGUGUAUCACUACGAUCGAGAUCCAACGAACCAUUUUCAUUGGGUGUGUAACCAUAUAAGGUUUUAUUCAUGUAAACAGAACAACAAUUUAUUCUCUUACUUAAAUGAAUAAUCGUAUUGCAAUAAACAUGAUCAAAUCAUAUUCAUGUUCAACGCAAAUGCCAAAUAACAUUUAUUUAGGUUUAACACUAAUCCCGAAGGUAUAGGGAGUGUGCGAUGAUGAUCAUAUCAAUCUUGGAACCAUUUCCAACACACAUCGUCACUUCACCCUCAACUAGUUUCUGUUUAUUCUGUAACUCCUGUUUCGAGUUACUAAUCUUAGCAACCGAACAAGUAUCAAAUACUCAGGGGUUACUAUAAACACUAGUAAGGUACACAUCAAUAACAUGUAUAUCCAAUAUACCUUUGUUCACUUUUGCCAUCCUUCUUAUCCGCCAAAUGCUUGGGUAGUUCCACUUCCAGUGACUAGUCCCUUUGCAGUAGAAUCACUUAGUCUUAGGCUUAGGUCUAGACUUGGGCUUCUUCACUUGAGCAGCAACUUGCUUGCUGUUCUUCUUGAAGUUUCCCCUUCUUCCCUUUGCCCUUUUUCUUGAAACUAGUGAUCUUGUCCACCAUCAACACUUUGAUGUUUUUCUUUGAUUUCUACCUUCGCCGAUUUUUUGCAUCGCGAAGAGCUUGGGAAUUGUUUUCAUCAUCCCUUGCAUAUUAUAGUUCAUCACGAAGUUCUACUAACUUGGUGGUGGUGACUAGAGAAUUCUGUCAAUCACUAUCUUAUCUGGAAGAUUAACUCCCACUUGAUUCAAGCGAUUGUAGUACCCAGACAAUCUGAGCACAUGCUCACUAGUUGAGCGAUUCUCCUCCAUCUUUUAGCUAUAGAACUUGUUGGAGACUUCAUAUCUCUCAGCUUGGGUAUUUGCUUGAAAUAUUAACUUCAACUCCUGGAACAUCUCAUAUGGUCCAUGACGUUCAAAACGUUUUUGAAGUCCCGAUUCUAAGCCAUAAAGCAUGGUGCAUAAAACUAUCAAGUAGUCAUCAUAUUGAGCUAGCCAAACGUUCAUAACGUCUACAUCUGCUCCUGCAAUAGGUCUGUCACCUAGCGGUGCAUUAAGGACAUAAUUCUUCUGUGCAGCAAUGAGGAUAAACCUCAGAUCACGGAUCCAAUCCGCAUCAUUGCUUACUAACAUUUUUCAACAUAGUUUUCUCUAGGAACACAUAUAAAAACAUAGGGAAGCAACAACGCGAGCUAUUGAUCUAUAACACAAUUUGCAAAAUACUACCAGGACUAAGUUCAUGAUAAAUUCAAGUUCAAUUAAUCAUAUUACUUAAGAACUCCCACUUAGACAGACAUCUCUCUAGUCAUCUAAGUGAUCACGUGAUCCAAAUCAACUAAACCAUGUCCGAUCAUCACGUGAGAUGGAGUAGUUUCAAUGGUGAACAUCACUAUGUUGAUCAUAUCUACUAUAUGAUUCAUGUUCGACCUUUUGGUCUCCGUGUUUCGAGGCUAUAUCUGUAUAUGCUAGGCUCGUCAAGUUUAACCUGAUUAUUCCGCGUGUGCAACUGUUUUGCACCUGUUGUAUUUGAACGUAGAGCCUAUCACACCCGAUCAUCACGUGGUGUCUCAGCACGAAGAACUUUUGCAACGGUGCAUACUCAGGGAGAACACUUCUUGAUAAUUAGUGAGAGAUCAUCUUAUAAUGCUACCGUCAAACAAAACAAAAUAAGAUGUAUAACAGAUAAACAUCAUAUGCAAUCAAAAUAUGUGACAUGAUAUGGCCAUGAUCAUCUUGCGCUUUUGAUCUCCAUCUCCAAAGUACUGUCAUGAUCUCUAUCGUUACCGGCACGACACCAUGAUCUUCAUCAUCUUGAUCUAUAUCAAUGUGUCGUUACAUGGUCGUCUCGCCAACUAUUGCUCUUGCAACUAUUGCUAUCGCAUAGCGAUAAAGUAAAGCGAUUAUUUGGCACUUGCAUCUUAUGCAACAAAGAGACAACCAUAGGGCUUUUGCCAGUUGCCGAUAACUUCAACAAAACAUGAUCAUCUCAUACAACAACUUAUAUCUCAUCACGUCUUGACCAUAUCACAUCACAACAUGCCCUGCAAAAACAAGUUAGACGUCCUCUACUUUGUUGUUGCAAGUUUUACGUGGCUGCUACGGGCUGAGCAAGAACCGUUCUUACCUACGCAUCAAAACCACAACGAUAGUUUGUCAAGUUAGUGCUGUUUUAACCUUCGCAAGGACCGGGCGUAGCCACACUCGGUUCAACUAAAGUUGGAGAAACAGACACCCGCUAGUCACCUGUGUGCAAAGCACGGCGGUAAAACCAGUCUCGCGUAAGCGUACGCGUAAUGUCCGUCUGGGCCACUUCAUCCAACAAUACCGUUGAACCAAAGUAUGACAUGCUGGUAAGCAGUAUGACUUGUAUCGCCCACAACUCACUUGUGUUCUACUCGUGCAUAUAACAUCAACGCAUAAAACCUAGGCUCGGAUGCCACUGUUGGGAAACGUAGUAAUUUCAAAAAAUUCCUACGCACACGCAAGAUCAUGGUGACGUAUAGCAACAAGAGGGGAGAGUGUUGUCUACAUACCCUUGUAGACCGUAAGCGGAAGCGUUAGCACAACGCGGUUGAUGUAGUCGUACGUCUUCACGGCCCGACCGAUCAAGCACCGAAACUACGGCACCUCCGAGUUCUAGCACACGUUCAGCUUGAUGACGUCCCUCGAACUCCGAUCCAGCCGAGUGUCGAGGGAGAGUUCCGUCAGCACGACGGCGUGGUGACGAUCUUGAUGUUCUACCGUCGCAGGGCUUCGCCUAAGCACCGCUACGAUAUUAUCGAGGUGGACUAUAGUGGAGGGGGGAACCGCACACGGCUAAGAGAUCCAAGGGAUCAAUUGUUGUGUCUUUGGUGCUAGCCCUGCCCCUCUAUUUAUAUGUUGAGCCCCGGGGUCGAAACUUGGAGCAAAAGCCUCCUCAAAGUCGAUUUUGCCCGAAAGGCAAGAGUCCCACUCGGACUCCAGGACCAAACGCCACAAUCCUUGGCGUCUGGCCCAGAUGCCAUGGGCCUCGGCGUCUGGCCCAGGGCCAGACGCCAGGGUCUCUGGCGUUUGGCCCCCUGGCCUCCGCAAAACUCCUUUUGCACCGACCUAAAGCCUCAUGGUCUUGAUCCCUUGGCCUAACCAUAUCAUCCAAUAUAUGAAUCUUUACGUCUCGACCAUUUCGAGACUCCUCGUCAUGUCCCUGAUCUCAUCCGGGACUCCGAACUCCUUCGGUACAUCAAAACAUGUAAACUCAUAAUAUAACUGUCAUCGAAACCUUAAGCGUGCGGACCCUACGGGUUCAAGAACAAUGUAGACAUGACCUAGAACUAUUCUCGUUCAAUAACCAAUAGCGGAACCUGGAUGCUCAUAUUGGCUCCUACAUAUUCUACGAAGAUCUUUAUCGGUCAAACCGCAUAACAACGUACGUUGUUCCCUUUGUCAUCGGUAUGUUACUUGCCCGAGAUUCGAUCGUCGGUAUCUCAAUACCUAGUUCAAUCUCGUUACCGGCAAGUGUCUUUACUCGUUCCGUAAUGCAUCAUUCUGUAACUAACUCAUUAGCUACAUUGCUUGCAAGGCUUAUAGUGAUGUGCAUUAUCGAGAGGGCCUAGAGAUACCUCUCCGACAAUCAGAGUGACAAAAUCUAAUCUCAAAAUACGCCAACCCAACAUGUACCUUUGGAGACACCUGUAGUACUCCUUUAUAAUCACCCAGUUACGUUGUGACAUUUGGUAGCACCCAAAGUGUUCCUCCGGUAAACGGGAGUUGCAUAAUCUCAUAGUUACAGGAACAUGUAUAAGUCAUGAAGAAAGCAACAGCAACAUACUAAAUGAUCAAGUGCUAAGCUAACGGAAUGGGUCAAGUCAAUCACAUCAUUCUCCUAAUGAUGUGAUCCCGUUAAUCAAAUGACAACACAUGUCUAUGGUUAGGAAACAUAACCAUCUUUGAUUAAUGAGCUAGUCAAGUAGAGGCAUACUAGUGACGUUAUGUUGGUCUAUGUAUUCACACAUGUAUUAUGUUUCCGGUUAAUACAAUUCUAGCAUGACUAAUAAACAUUUAUCAUGAUAUAAGGAAAUAAAUAAUAACUUUAUUAUUGCCUCUAGGGCAUAUUUCCUUCAUGAACGAUAAUAGAUCUCGCAUCAAAGCCUGGUUCCCUGGGGUCGACUGGAAUCCUUCGCCCAUCACUGUGCUGGCGUCUACCAUCCUGUUGUCGAGGUGCGUACGAUCCACCCCUUGGGGGAGGGGUGAGCACUCGACAUUGAUCAUCACGAUCGAUUCGGUGAUCAUACUGCUCACAGUUCUUGUACUGAUCGUGCCGGUCUCCACACCCUUCACGCCUCGGGGGCGAUCUGGGGCUGUGAGCCGACUGGACUGUAUUUGCAGCUACGGAUCUGCUGUGAAUCCUAUUCCGCGACUGUGAUACAGCUGAAUUUUGAUCUCCUGCUGCCCGGAGUAAAUCUUUGAUCUGCAACAAGCCUCUGUCAGCCUAUGACUGAGAAGGCUGGAUUGACUCUGCUAUACGGGCCGCAGCCGCUAAAUUCUGAAUCGGGGUUCGAUAUACCUGAGUCAGUUGUGGAAAGAGUUGACGUCGACUGGAAUCUGGAACCCGUUUCCGCGCGCACUCGUCGAGUGCCCGCUGAAGGUUCCCCAGUCGAGUGCGUUCAGCCAAGUUGGCCAAGCACGCGUCCUUUAAGGCACGAGCCUCGGGAGUUUCUCCAACGAUAGGAGUAUGAAGUGCAUCCAUGUUCCGGCGGCGAAGUUCUUCCCUCUGCAGCGAAGUGAGGGGCUCGGGGAGAUACUCCUCAUUCGCAUGCGACGGAUCGCCUCCGCCGUCGCCUCCGUCGGCACCGGGAUAACUGGGAGGACCGCGCGGUCCAUCGACCAUCAGAACCUCCGCCGCUGGAUCACUGCUGUCGCACUCAGAUGCAGUCUCUGCAGAGCCAGUCGACAGGUCGAACAGGCCGUAGAGAGAUUCAUCGGGUUCGAUUGCCGCGACUUGGGGGUGGCCGAUUGGCGAGCCACCGCGUGUCUCACCCACCGCUAAAGCCUCGACCGACCGGAGCACUUGCACCGGCUGGAAACAGGGGGGAGGACGACACAGAAACCGACCGAUACUGGGUCGACGACUGCCGCAGGAGGACGCCGCGGACGCACGCGUGAAAGUGCGUCGCUCCGUGGACUGUGAGCGCGUCGAUGUCGAGGGAGCCUCCUGAAGCCAAGCAGAGUCGUCGGUGACGAACAUGAGCGCGCCGAGACGGAUCUCGCGGCCCUCAACCAAAACUCCGCCUGAAACCAUGAUGAAGGAGAUCGGAAAAAAUUACAACUUCUCAAAUAAGUCACUAAGACAUUUGCCCCAUGGUGGGCGCCAACUGUCGUGGUUCUAAGUCUGACAGUAGUGUAGGGGGGUACUAAUGGAGAGGCAAGAUCCUAGCUAUGGAGUAGUUGUAUACGCAAGAGAUUUACGAGUUCAGGCCCUUCUCGGAGGAAGUAACAGUCCUACGUCUCGGAGCCCGGAGGCGGUCGACUGGAUUAUAUGCGUAUGAGUUACAGGGGUGCGAACCCUUUACACUGAGGAGGGGGUGGCUUAUAUAGAGUCCGCCAGACCCCUCCGACCCUCAAUUAUGCAGGGUUUAAGAUACAUUAAGGUUGGGCGUUACUGGUAACACUAUACAUAAAGUGCUGUGAUGACCAUAAAAGCUACUUAAGGACCGAACAUUAGCGUGCAGAGUGACUUUAGAUCUCCUGGCUAUCGAGUGGUUGGUUUCAUGGUCGAGUGGUUGGCUUCAUGGUCGAGUGGUUGGCUUCAUGGUCGAGUGUCUUCGAGUCAGUCGGGUGGAACACUUCCGAGUCGAUUGACAGGUGGUUUAUUCAAGAGAUAUCCUUGGGUAGGGUAGUUUGGACAGGUCCAUGACCCUACCCUAGGUACAUAGCUUCAUCAGUGGCCUCUAUGGGUGCAGCAGGGGGAGUAGCGAUCAUCACGGGUGCCGCCUUGGGCGCCGAUGGUGCUCCCUCCUGAACCAAGGCGAGGUGCGUCUCAUGCGCCUUCCGAGCCUUAUAUGCAUCAACGACCUCUUGUGGUGCGCGACACUGGCGGGAGAAAUGCUCCACCGAGCCACAACGGAAGCAGUCCUGAGGCCUCUGCCCUCCCUUGCCCGGCUUGUUCUGCUUAGCCGGGGCAGGAGGGUGAGGGCCCUUCUCCUUGCCCUUGCGGCCUCUCUUCUUCUGUUGAGGCUUGCGGACUUUGAGAGCGUUCACCUCCUGGCGAGAACUCCCCCCAAGUGGUUGCGCGACAAAGUUCUUUUUAAGAACCUCAUCCUGCGCCUCCACCACCUGGAGGACGUCAAUCAACUCUGAAUACCUCGUGUAGUUCCCCUGGCGGUAGUUCCGUGAGGACUGGACCGCGUCGGGGUGGAAAGUGGAUAGUGUUUUCUCAAUCUUUCUGGGAGUCGGUAAUCUCUGUACCACACAACCGAAGAGUCCUACAAAUCCGGUGCAUAGCCGAAUCGUACUCCCCAACCGUCUUGAAGUCCGCAAACCUCAGACAGAUCCACUCUGCCUCUGCACGUGGCUUCACAGUGUACUUCAGCCGCUCAAACUGCUGCUUAAGAGCGGUCCAAAGGCCAGAAGCACUGCGCUCAUCCAUAUACUCAUCUUUUAGAGUAGGUGACAGGUGAUGACGGAGAAUAUGCAGAGUCUGCGCAUUCUCAGUUUUGAACUUGGGAUCAGUGGCGGCCAGCUGGGCCCCCUUACCUAUCGCCCUCAGGAGGAUUCUGCCCUGGAGAUAGAUCUCGCAGUCCGAGGACCAUGACAGGUAGUUCGGCCCUGUCUGGGCCAACUCAACAAACUCCUUGUGGACAAUUCCGGCCAUCUGCGAUCUAUGCAAAAAUCAUGAGAUUACAGCAGGUAAUCUUUUGCACAAAGCGAUGUUGAUAAACUUAUUCAAUAAAAAGACGUUCCAAUAUUUAAAACAUGCUAUUAUAUGACUUACUAAAUGAUUAAGAGUGUGAAUCAAUUAAUCUACAGCAGUAAAAUCAUACAAUAAUAUCAUGUUACAAAAGAUAGCAUGUUAAGCGCAUCUAGUAUGUGAAAACUAGCCCAAAAAUUGGAUUCCCGAGGCAUUUUUAAGCCCAAAUACAUGUUUUCAGUGAAAACAGACAAUUCCAGGGGCUUCUACGUAAAAUAUUACAGCAUGAAUAAAACUUGCGUAAAAUCUGGAAACUAUGGGGGCUAAACUGCAAAAAUCACACACUGCAGCCGGCGCGCUCCUUUUUUUUAUGGAGGAACCCACGGUCGCGGCCCACCCGGCCCAACAGCCAGUGGGCCGGCCCAUGCGCAGCGCUGUCCUCCUGCCCGCUGGGACGCUAGGGUUUCCCUAGCGCCCGAGCGGGGGCGGCGGCUCGCCCGAGCGGUGCCGGACGCGGCCGGGGCUGGCAGGCGCGCUNNNNNNNNNNNNNNNNNNNNNNNNNNNNNNNNNNNNNNNNNNNNNNNNNNNNNNNNNNNNNNNNNNNNNNNNNNNNNNNNNNNNNNNNNNNNNNNNNNNNNNNNNNNNNNNNNNNNNNNNNNNNNNNNNNNNNNNNNNNNNNNNNNNNNNNNNNNNNNNNNNNNNNNNNNNNNNNNNNNNNNNNNNNNNNNNNNNNNNNNNNNNNNNNNNNNNNNNNNNNNNNNNNNNNNNNNNNNNNNNNNNNNNNNNNNNNNNNNNNNNNNNNNNNNNNNNNNNNNNNNNNNNNNNNNNNNNNNNNNNNNNNNNNNNNNNNNNNNNNNNNNNNNNNNNNNNNNNNNNNNNNNNNNNNNNNNNNNNNNNNNNNNNNNNNNNNNNNNNNNNNNNNNNNNNNNNNNNNNNNNNNGACGGCGCGGCCACGGUGACGGCGCGGCCAGGGCGCGGCCACGGCGAGGCCAGCGGGGCUCCGGCCAGCAGGGCUCGGCGGCGUCAGCAGGACGCGGUGCGGCGUACGCGACCCUCGGGAUCGUGGACAGCACGGCGUCAUCUGGACGCUGGCCUUGGGAUGUGUAUCUUCGUCGCGUUCAUCCGGAAAAACGACGAUGCAUGGCACAUCUGGUGCUGUUGCGGCGGUGCCGCGAUCAUCUGGAUCGCGGUCUGUACCGACUCCCUAUAGUGCAGUCAACAAGUUCCUCUUAGUCCAAGAACAUCGACAUUGGUCGGCGACGUGUUCGUCCGCUCGGUUCUUGGGAGGAAAAUCCACAUCAUAGGUAGAUCAAAUCCGAAAAAAUAAUCUAAUCGCAAAAACGGAAUCGCGGGAACGAGAUAAAUCCAUUUUUGCAAAGAGUGGGGAUCGGAUCUUAUACCUCCGCGGGAUCGACGAAAGCCUGCGUGACGCAGGCUUGACGGAGAGUUGGUGGAGCAAAGCGUGCUGAUAACGUGUUCCGCAACUCCUGCCGGCGAGUCCGGUCCAAGGUUGCGGAGCGGAAGCGAGCGUCGUAGACGAAGUAGUCGAACACGCGAAAGUAAAUGACACGGAGAGAUAUGAAGGAGACCAGCUUUAUUAAUCAAUUAUCAGGUGUUACGAUGAUGGCUCCUCGAUACUUUAUAUAGGAAGAAGGGGGUCAAGGGAUAAGUACCCACCUAACGUAACGAGGGGAACGAGAGGGGCUAGCCCGUCGUUUAGCACGCGGCCGCUGCCACCCUCCCGGGUGACCCGGUUUCCCAACACCUAACAGGUAACAGCGCUGAGCGCCGCACGGUUGAGGGCGUUGCGGCCUUCAUGGAGGUUUGGCCAACAAUUGGCUUCGGUGCCGCACCGGAGGGCCGCUGUCGCUCAACGCCACCGGGUAGCACGGGCACGAGCGCAUCGUGUGAGGGCGACCUCACCGACCACAACAACAGCGUUGAGGGCCAUCGGGCGUUCUGUGGUGUGCCAUGGAUACGCACCUUUGGACUCCGUCGGGCGGGGUCGCACGCGGGCCGUUUUGCCUCUACAUGCGGGAGAAUAGUCAUUGCUUUCUUCUCAUUCUGUGCGACCAAACCACUCUCGGUUACGAGCAUGCUGAUAACCUGUUUGGAAGAGAAAGCAAAUGAUUGAGCAGUUGUUUCAUUGAUUGAUGACUAGGGUAUUGAUACCCUCAUUACAAGGCAGUUAUAAAGGAGGCUGUUGCCAAAACAUGACCACCGACAUAGCAUCAAUUAACAUUCAGUUAACCUAAUUAAUUAAUCCCUAACAAAGUUCUCUGCAUGUUCUAAUUAUUGUGGGAAUUUUAAUCUAUUUCGCUUUUGUUCCUUCUAUUGUGCCUGCUACCUUGCCAGGCGACCUUCUAUAACCUAUGGAGCGGGAGCUGCGUGAGAUCUUCACAUCACAACGAUGGCGGCGGCGGCGGCGGUGCGUAUAGUAGAAAGUCGUAGGGCAGCCCCCACGUGCAUGUUUUCCAAGCCCAUGAAACAUUUUUUUUACUUAUACGAGAGAAUUAAAGAUUUACUCUGGAUCUUACGGUUAUGGCUAUCUUUUUUUUUUACCUAUAAUUCCUUGCAUGCGGGGCAAGAGGGGAGGAGAGAUUGAGAUUUUAGACGGGAUAGGUGAAGUUUUUUUAAACCCAAAGCCAAUUUCCAUGUAAGUAAUGGCAAUGGUGGGUAAUUUUAACAACUUAAAUCGAAUGGCUAUUAAUCGUUAAUCCACCAAAUAGAUGGUUAGAUCUUUCUAAUUAUUGUGGAAAUUUUAAUCUAUUUCUCUUUUUUGUGGUUAACCCGUCAAAUACAAUUUAUAUAUAAAUAGAUAGAUGCAAAUCCCGUGCAUGGUAGAAUCUUUAUUUCCUCAAAGUACUAUAGUCCAUGAUAAUCAACGAGUUCCGUACAUAUUACUAGUACUAGUACGUGCUAACUAAAGCGUCUCAUGCAUGCAUACACAACCGAGAACUGAGCAUACAAUAUAUGCCUAGCUUAGCCAUGCAUAUACAACCGAGGCUACCGUCUACGGCGCAAAUUAGCACUUGCUGCACUCGCCCCAGCAUCCCAUGUGGCAUUGCUUGUCUUUCCCAUACGCGCACCGGUUGCAAGCUUGGGCGUCACAGUCGUUGCCGCAUGCACUCUGGGCGGCGCCGUCGCAGUCACAGCCGCCGCCGGGGCAGUUGGCCGUGCACUUGUCUUUCUCGGCGGCCUUGCACUUGCCGCAGAGAGCAACAUACUGUUCACAUUCGGUGCAUUUGCUGGAGGCUCUGCACGCCGAAUAGCACGCCGGAUACGUAACCGAGUAGCAGUGGUGGCGCCGGGACUCAGAGCAUGGUGGGUCCCAUGGCGCCGGAGCCGGCGCCGGCGCUGAUGGUGGUGACGGUGCGGGCAGUGGUGGCGCCUGUGCCGGCCCCGGGGACGGGGACAGACAGUGGCCAGAUGAAGGUAGAACCAGCAUGGCGAGGACGGCCGCCAUGAGAGCGAGGCCAACUGAACCUGCGGAAGCCAUUAGUUGGAAAAGAAGAGGAACAAAAAUGUGAAGAUCGACUUACACAGAUGUGCGUAUGAAAUAGGACAAGGCAAUGUUAUUUAUAGGCAUAGCCCGAGAUCCUAAUUGUAGGCUUAUAGCUAGCUAGCAUGUAGUACUACUACUAGGACUACAUAUCUAACUAAUCUUUGUAAAAUGAAUCAAGUUGCAUGUUAAGAUCUGUUACAAGUUGACAUAUGUGCAGAGAUCGACGAGGGAAAAGUGCUGCUUAUCUUGACCGAUUCAUCGCGUUGCAUUUUGAGAUCUGGGCCGUGCAUGUUACAAAGUUGACAUGCUAAGAGAGCAGUGCUACUUAUCUUGACCGAUUCAUCGCGUGGACUUUCUGCCAGUCUUGGAUCUCCAUGGAGAAGAACACCACCUUGAUUAAUUACUCGAAUGUCUCCCGAAACCUUACAUUUUCAAGAUAGUUUCGUGCGGACAAUAUAUUGUGAAUAUCCACAAUUUCUUUUUUUGAAGAUCGACUUAAGUUGGUGCACGUACGAGAAAUGAGAGAAAGCACAGAGUUGUUUCUAGGCACAGCCAAGAAUCUCACAUGUAUCUAUGUACUGCGGACUACAUGUCUACAUAUCUAUAGUAUGCACAAUGCAUCAAGUUGCAUGUAACGAGUAGCUGACGUGCAGAGAGGACGGAUCAAUAUUUAUACUAUCCGACGGCCACCUUGAAAUGCUCACCUUAAAAGCGGAUGCGGAUGCGGGUUCAGAACGAAAAUUAUCCAAUGGAUAGGGAAGCGGAUGUGGAUUAUCCAGUGUUUUUACGGAUAAACCGAGGUUACUAAAUAAGAUUAUCCGAUAAAUAUAGCCCAAUUGACAAGCCCAAAUAAGAAAUUAGUCGGGCACUAAUUAACUAGUAAUUAUGAUCGCCGCAUAUAAAUAGGGAGCAACUAGUUAACGAGCGAUCCUUCGGGAGCCUCGCAACGAUCAGCGUCACUCGGCGCGCUCUCAGCCAUUCGCCACGUGUCGCGCUCUGGACGCUUCCUUCGGAUUUUGUUUUUUUCAUUUUUCCGCACGCGUUUUCGGCUUUUUAAACGGGUUUUUUUCGGGGUUUUCGACGUUUUCGUUUUCCCCCGGUCUUUCUUAGCUUUUCGAUAAAAAAAAUCCGAAAAGUUUUUUUGCGCAAAAAAACACGUUUUUUUCCUUUCACGAAAGUCACGGUUUUUCUUCCGCGAGAGGCACAGUUGUGCUUUAGCGAGAGUCACGGCCGUGUCUUUCGGAAACGAAAAAAACGCGUUUUCUGUUUUUUUCCUUUCGCGAGAGUCAUGGUUUUUCUUCCGUGAGAGGCACGGUUGUGCUUUCGCGAGAGUCACGGCCGUGCCUCUCGGAAACGAAAAAAACGCAUUUUUUAUUUUUUUUCGUGAAAAUCACGGUUUUGCUUCCGCGAGAGGCACGGUUGUGCUUACGCGAAAGCCAUGGCCGUGCCUCUCGGAAAGAGAAAAAAAUACGCGUUUUCUGUUUUUUUUUUCUUUCGCGAGAGUCAUGGCCGUGCCUCUCGGAAACGAAAAAAAUCGUUUUCUGUUUUUUUUCUUCCACUGGAGUCACGGUUUUGCUUCCACGAGAGGCACAGUUGUGAUUUCGUGAGAGGCACAGGCGUGCCUCUCUCGGAAAGGGAAAAAAACCGUGCUCCCGGUUCCGUUUUUUCGCCCGGUUUUUUCGUCCGUUUUUUUCGUGAAAAAAAAGUUCGUCAAAACCUAUCAACAUGGGAUCUAGUUUUGAAGAUCUCGACGCGAGGAAUCCAAUGGUGAAAACGGUUCGAGAUUUGGACGCACGGUUUAAGAGAUAAAACGUUUUGAAUAAACGGAUCUAUAAAAAAAAGGAAAACUCCCAGGUUGCGACAAGUGGCGCGCUGCAUGUGCGCCACUUGUCGCGACCUGGGAAAAUGGAGUGUUCUUUGCAACGAGUACUCCUUAAUUAGUGAUUUCGAUAUAAAUACAAUAUAUGACCCUAAACCUAAAUAGGAAAGAGGAAACGUUAGGCGUGAGGCCUUGACGUUCGUGAGGAGACCCCUCCACCAGAUUAGAUCGAGGAAAAAGAAAAAACCAGCAAACGUGCGGGAGAAAACCAGCGUGGAGGGGUGCUAGGGGAAGGACGAAAAAAAACCAUACGAAAAAAACCAACGAAAAUAAAUCGUGAAGACUAUUCAUCAACUGCUCCAUUAAGAGUAGAGAUACUAGUAUAUGAUACUCCCCAUUACAACGAGCCUAAUAGUACUCUAGUAUACGAUCACAAUCACAGCCAUCACCCGUUAGCCGUCAGCCGUGGUUGUCACACGUCGUUUUCUCCAGCGCCGCCAACCCAGGGGCAGGCCGCAUCUGUCCGGUAAGUCGGCUGUCCUACACGAUGGGCAAAGAUGUCGGCGACGGUCCCGCUAAUGGAGGUGAGCAUUUUGUUUGAAUGCUCCAUGAUUUUAGGGCAUCAAUGGUACGCACCCACAACCACGAGGCCAUGCAGCUAAUGUUACGUGGCUCUCCUUACACUGGGCUUGUAAGUACUCCUACUAGUCAUGGUAGCAGAGUACACUGCCGUGAUCGACGCCGUACACGGCGAUGGGAAAAUCAAGUGCGCCAACGGGAUUCACGUCGAGACGACGGUCUGCAUGUGCACCGGCCGGGGCCAACGCGCUUACUUGCACGCACGUAUAGGACUAGAGCGAUCAUCUCUGGUUCCGUACUUCUGGUUACUUUGCUUCCAUGCACGUACAGUCUUAUCCAACUACUCCCUCAGUUUAGAAUUACUUGUCAUAAAAAUGGAUGUAUCUACAACUAAAAUACUAGAUACAUUUAUUUUUUGAACGAGUAAUUCCGAACGGAGGGAGUAGCUAAUAGCGACUUAGUUUCAACUCUAGCUAAAACUCACGCAAGACACCAGGUAGAAAAUAAUGAACAAGAGACUCGCAACGAGCUACACUAACAAACUAAGACCAAGUCGCGUCUCACUUAUUUCACUAACUGAAGAAAAUCCUAACUGACGAAACUGAACUUGAACAUCUACAACUACGACUGUCGACACAGAUUUCUCUUUGAAUCUUUGACAGCAGCUGCUAACUUUAUAUUAUGCGCUGGGAUAAAAAAUUAUGCUCAUAUUGUUUGCAUGGUAGAAAUAAAAUCAUGUGUCUUUACAUGUAUCACCCGAUAUUUUUUAUCUGUUUCCGUUUUGAAUCCGUAGUCCGAUAUAAUCCGCAUUCGAAUCCGCAUCCGGUCAUUAUCUGCUCCGCUCCGAAUCCAAAUAUAUACAUAUACAUAUGGUAGAGGAUAUGGUAAAAAGCAUUAUCGGAUCCGAUCUGAUCCAUUUACAUCCCUAUAUAGCUAGCUAUCAUGUACUAGCUAGGACUACAUGUCUAAUAUUUAUCUAUGUAAAAUGAAUCAAGUUGCAUGUUAAGAUCAAUUACAAGUUGACAUAUACGCAGAGAUUGAUGAGUGCGUAUUUUCAUUUCUAGAUCUGCGACGUGCAUGUUACAAAAUUGACAUGCUGAUGUAGCAGUGCUACUUAUCUUGACUGGGCACGAUUCAUCGCAUGGUUGUUCUGUUUGGCUUGGAUCUCCAUGGAGAAGAACACCUACUUAAUUGAUUACUCAAAUGUCUCUCAACAUCCUUUUUUAAGCCUUGCUUUUGAAGACAACUUUGCGUAGAAAAUAUAAUUAAGGAAAAGUGGGGGAAAUCAUAUAGUGGAAAUAUUCCCAUGUCGACAUUAUGCAUAUGUUUCCUUCAAAGGAAUGGAGCAGAAUGAAAAUGAAGGAAGAGUUCAUCCGGUAUAAGUUUCAAAGGAAAAAUGCAUGAAUUUGACAAUCCACUUGGACUCUGUUUGUCUUUGGUACAAGGGAUUCUAAAAAACACAUGAAUCGAAAGGGAUUGGGACAACAUGUCAUAAUGGAUCCUUUAGUUGCCAAGAAUACAUGAAUUUAUAAUACGAAGUAGAAGGUCGUGUUUGGCUGCACGAAAGGAAAAAAGGCAGGAAGUUUCCCAUAGCAUUUGAUGCAUGAAAUAGUUGCCAUAGAAACAAUUAACAAAAAUCUCAAGGUUGGACCCGAUGGAAAUUCUCCUCUCGGAUUAUUGUAUGAUGCCUAUAAGGUUGACACACGAAUUGAUGAGAUGGAAGGAAAACACCCAUCCACAUGCCGGCCUUUGUUCUUCUAUUCCUUUCUCUCAACUCCAAUCGCUGGUCCACUUCCCUUUUUUUUCACCCACGCACGCUGCCGCUGGUCCGGUCGCCUACACCCUUGCAAAUUGCCGGGGCGGGCCGGUUACCGACUCUAUCCAGGGCCACAAAAAUCUCUAUCUCUUCUCCUCUCCUCACUGAAACCUUCUGCCUAUUUCCUGCGGUCGCACGUGCAACAAGAACUGGCGGCGGCACAUACAUGAGCUUGGUGGCGCACGUCGGAGGAGCUAUGGAGCUCGACCAUACGAAGGGUGGUUGUGGAUGUGAUCGAUCACACGCGUUAGAGGAGGGGUCUAGGGUCGUUGGCAUCACACCCACACCUGCCCCGGUGCAUGCCAUGGCUUCACCCCCUAGCCUUCCCAUUCCCGACGUAUGUCAUGGGAUCCACACGAGGCGGUGCAGGAUCUGGUCGAAGAGGGCUUCCUUGGAAAUCCAUGUGACUCCGGUCAACACAGNNNNNNNNNNNNNNNNNNNNNNNNNNNNNNNNNNNNNNNNNNNNNNNNNNNNNNNNNNNNNNNNNNNNNNNNNNNNNNNNNNNNNNNNNNNNNNNNNNNNNNNNNNNNNNNNNNNNNNNNNNNNNNNNNNNNNNNNNNNNNNNNNNNNNNNNNNNNNNNNNNNNNNNNNNNNNNNNNNNNNNNNNNNNNNNNNNNNNNNNNNNNNGAUUUGUUAUUAGUUUGGAUAUGAACAAUGCAGAAAUUUGAAAAAAAAAAUACAUGCAUAAGUGCAAUUUGGCCCCUGCAAUCAAAUUUUUUUGUCAUUUGGCCCCCCUAAUCUUAAUUUCCUGGCUCCGCCACGACCACAUUACCGUUCGGAAUCCAGGGUAUGCGGCUCCCCUCCUCGAAUGACUACGCCAAGGCCAGCAAUGACUACAUCAAACGGUACGCCGCCGCCAACCUGGUGGUGUUGACGACGAGAGCAGCCGGCGACGAUAUUUUUUUCAUAUUCAUGUGCUGCCAUCAUUUUUCUAUGAAAGACAUUUGUGUAAAAGAUCAUUUUCUGUAAAAAAUGAGACGUGCACGUGCAUAUGUUUUUUCAAUUUUGGAAAUUGCUACUGGUGGCGUGCGAGACAAAGAGCUCGUCUUUCAUUAAGUCAAGAAUUAUUAUUACAACUGUGAAUUUACUUAUUGAGCAGUUUAAUGCUAAGCAUUAAUCAUUCCAUGGUAGUCAUCUCAUACAUGGAUACACAUUUGACCCUGGCCGAGCGGCACAAGCUAUCUAUCUACGGCCCAUUGCACCCGCGCAUGCACUCGGCCGUGCAUAGGGCUGGAAAAAAAGCUCGAAGCUCGCGAGCUAAAGAAGUAGCUCGUGACUCGGCUCGAAUCGACUCGAACUCGAAGAAUAACGAGUCGAGCCAAGCUUUAGUUUAAGAUCAUUUAUAGACCAAGUUAAACAAGCCAAUCUCAUGAGUACUCGUGUAACUCGUUAGGCUCGAUACAAUAGAUCAGCCACUCCCAAUACAAAUAAAGAUCAGCCACUAAACAACCUACAUCCUAGGCGCACAACCCAAGGCCCAGCCGUUGAAGGUCUAGCCUCCUAGAAGAUUCAUGCGUUACAAGGAAACUACAAUUGUUUAGUGAUAUGUAUGUUUAAUAUAUACAUAAUCAUUUUCAUCAUAAUUGAGGGCUUUAUAUUUAUAUUUUUAACGAGCUUAACAAGCUAAACGAGCCAGCUCGGGAGUUACACGAGUCGAGCCAAUCUUGGGUUUGAGCUCGUUAUAGUAACGAGUCGAGUCGAGCUAGCUCGUUAACGAAACGAGCUCUAGCGAGCCGAGCCGAGCUGGCUCGACUCGGCUCGAAUUCCAGCCCUAGCCGUGCAGGUGAUCCGGCACAUCUUACUUUGGUUUUCCGGGCACUCUAAACAUUUCACAAAUAAGGCACAAGUGGCAUCGCAUUCGGUGGCGCCGCAGUCACACCUGUCGCCGGUGCAGUUGGCCAUGCACUCGUCGACGGUGGUCGUGCAGUCGUGGCAGAGGCGAGGUUGAACCAGUAGGCAAGGGCAUUUCCCAUUGGCGGAGGCCAUGCACAACGAUCUGCAGGUUGAGCUCCCGAACGAUUGAGCACAGGCCCCGCACGAUAUCGACGGUGCCGGAGCUGGUGGUAAUGAUGUCGGUGCGGGUGGCGGUGCCCCCUUUGCCGGCGGCGGCGGUACCGGCCCCAGCGAUGGACAGCGGCCUGACGAAGGCAGGACAAGCAUGGCGAGCAUGGCGGCGACGGCGGCCGCCUGGAGAGCGAGGCCGGCUGAGCCUGACGAAGCCAUUAGAGAAGAAGAAAGGUGCACACGAAAAACUGUGCGCUGCGUACGAACUACUGGUAGGGGAAGGCACAGUUACUUAUAGUCACACUUCACACCCAGAGAUCAUAGUUGUAGCUAGCUCCUAUCAUGUAAAAACUAUGCAUCAAGUCGUGCACGUUACGAGCAGUUGACAUGCAUGAAGAACGAAUCAAGUUGCAUCUUGAGAUCUGCGCCGUGCAUGUUACAAAGUUGACAUGUGGAUAGCUUGGUACUUAUCUUGACCUGGCAUGAUUUUUUUUUUAGAAAAGAAGGAGGAUCCCGCCUCUGCAUCUGGACGAUGCAUGGAGCCACUUUAUUAAUUAUUCACACAAGACCUUACAAAGUUAUAUAACAAUAAGACUAAAGUUACCGUCUAGGCAACAUGUGUCGCUACUCCUAUUCUAUUGAUGAAGGGAUACUAAUAGUCUAGACCACCAGGCAUGAUUCCUGACACAGACUUUAUUUCUGCUUGUCUUGAAUCUCCAUGGACAAUUUUGCACGGAAAAUACAUGUAGAGCCCCAAUAGGGGGCUGUUGUUCCCUUCAAGAGGAUCUCGACACGAGCGAGCGUUCUCAAGGAGGCUCAUUCGAGGGAACUGCACCUCUAGAGAGUGUUUCCUCAAAAAACCACUCCUUAGAAAAGUUUAAAAAUUGUCGUGCUAUAACUGAGAGAUUCGCAUGCUACUACACCAGAGAGAUUUGUCACGCUAAGAAGAAAAAUUGACAUGCUACAGUAAAAAAUACUCCUUCUGUCUCAUAAUAUAAGACGUUUUUACAAGCUAACAUUGUGGGACAGAGGGAGUAUCUGGCGUGUGUUUUUGAGAUUUUGCCACGCUGCAGUAGAGAGAAUUGUCAUGCAUUUCAGAGAUUUUCCAUGCGGCUAUAAAAAAAGUGGGAAUUGUCAUGCAUUUCAGAUAUUUCAGAGAGUUGUCAUGACCACGCACCUAAGGCUAUUGCUCCAAGGCUGUUUGCCUUGUGCGUCCGUCACUUUCAAAGAGGCUCUCUAUGACAACAUGUGGGUGCAGGACAUGCACAGACUGAACUCUGAGUAGCUUCAGGAUGAUCUGAUAAUGCCCUCGGGGACAUAAUUCAGUCGGUCACCCUCUCUAGACAGACUGACAUGACCACCUCGAAGCUCAACACUGGUGGAGUUUACUCCAUGGUCUCGCCAUAUGAUUCUCGAUCUCUUGCACAGGAUCCGGGAGCCUAAUCUUGCUAUUGUUGGGGAACGUAGUAAUUUCAAAAAAAUUCCUACGCACACGCAAGAUCAUGGUGAUGGCAGAGCAACGAGAGGGGAGAGUGUUGUCCACGUACCCUCGUAGACCGUAAGCGGAAGCGUUAGCACAAAGCGGUUGAUGUAGUCGUACGUCUUCACGAUCCGACCGAUCCAAGCACCGAACGUACGGCACCUCCGAGUUCAGCACACGUUCAGCUCGAUGACGAUCCCCGGCUCCGAUCCAGCAAAGCUUCGGGGAUGAGUUCCGUCAGCAUGACGGCGUGGUGACGAUGAUGAUGUUCUACCGGCGCAGGGCUUCGCCUAAACUCCGCGACGAUAUGACCGAGGUGGAAUAUGGUGGAGGGGGCACCGCACACGGCUAAGGAACUAUCCGUAGAUCAACUUGUGUGUCAUGGGGUGCCCCCAUACCCCCGUAUAUAAAGGACCAAGUGGGGAGGGGCGGCCGGCCAAGGGAGGGCGCGCCAGGGAGGAGUCCUACUUCCACCGGGAAUAGGACUCCCUCCUUUACUAGUCCAACUAGGAGAGGGGAAGGAAGGGAAGGAGAAGGAGAAGGAAGGAGAGGGAGGAAAAAGAGGAAAGGGGGGCCGACCCCCUAGUCCAAUUCGGUUUGGGCUAGGGGGCCGCGCGCCCUGCCUCCUCUCUUUCACCACUUGGCCCAUGAGGCCCAUUGCUUCUUCCUCGUAUUCCCGUAACUCCCCUGUACCCCCGAAAAUACCUGAAUCACUCGGAACCUUUCCGAACUCCGAAUAUAGUCGUCCAAUAUAUCGAUCUUUACGUCUCGAUCAUUUCGAUACUCCUCGUCAUGUCGCCAAUCUCAUCUGGGACUCCGAACUCCUUCGGUACAUCAAAACUCAUAAACUCAUAAUAUAACUGUCAUCGAAACCUUAAGCGUGCGGACCCUACGGGUUCGAGAACUAUGUAGACAUGACCUAGAACUAUUCUUGGUCAAUAACCAAUAGCGGAACCUGGAUGCUCAUAUUGGCUCCUACAUAUUCUACGAAGAUCUUUAUCGGUCAAACCGCAUAACAACAUACGUUGUUCCCUUUGUCAUCGGUAUGUUACUUGCCCGAGAUUUGAUCGUCGGUAUCCAAUACCUAGUUCAAUCUCGUUACCGGCAAGUCUCUUUACUCGUUACAUAAUGCAUCAUCCCGCAACUAACUCAUUAGUCACAUUGCUUGCAAGGCUUAUAGUGAUGUGCAUUACCGAGAGGGCCCAGAGAUACCUCUCCGACAAUCGGAGUGACAAAACCUAAUCUCGAAAUACGCCAACCCAACAUGUACCUUUGGAGACACUUGUAGUACUCCUUUAUAAUCACCCAGUUACGUUGUGACGUUUGGUAGCACCCAAAGUGUUCCUCCGGUAAACGGGAAUUGCAUAAUCUCAUAGUUACAGGAACAUGUAUAAGUCAUGAAGAAAGCAAUAGCAACAUACUAAACGAUCAAGUGCUAAGCUAAUGGAAUGGGUCAAGUCAAUCACAUCAUUCUUCUAAUGACGUGAUCCCAUUAAUCAAAUGACAACACAUGUCUAUGGUUAGGAAACAUAACCAUCUUUAAUUAAUGAGCUAGUCAAGUAGAGGCAUACUAGUGACACUAUGUUUGUCUAUGUAUUCACACAUGUAUUAUGUUUCCGGUUAAUACAAUUCUAGCAUGAAUAAUAAACAUUUAUCAUGAAAUAAGGAAAUAAAUAAUAACUUUAUUAUUGCCUCUAGGGCAUAUUUCCUUCAGCUAUUGUGUGGACGGUUAAAGUUGGCAGAAGUUUAAAUUCUACCUUUUUUUUAGAACAAGUUUAAAUUCUACCUAUGGCUAAUGAUCUAGAGCUGUAACUGGGCAGUUGAUCGUCUCUUUGCAUAGGCUGACCCAAAGCUGGGCAGACGGGCCGUGUUAGCUGGGCCGGCCGGAUAGCACGCAGUCUCGACAUGACCCAGGCUAAAUGGGCCAGGCCCAGCACGCGGAACGCCAGGGGCCGUGCCUGCGCUUGGAGGCUGGGCGGGCGGGCCAGCAGGGCAUGGCCCAUUUAUUUUUUUUAAUUUUUUCUGUAUUAUAUAUAUAUAUAUAGGACAAAUUUUUCCUACUACCGGGUGUAGUUACUCCCACUUUUGUUUGAUACGUUCUAGGUAGUAUCUAUCAUAUUGGAGUGUAUGUACGCGUAGUAUGUAGUAUAUAAGAAUGUUUAGGUAGUAUAUAUACUACUUUUUUGAUAGUAUGUAUCAUAUUUUGUGCAUACUCUAUUUUACGUACAAAUAUGUUCGUACUUCACAAAUACAAUAAAACCAUGAGCUCAGUUGCAAUGUUUUCAUAUAACUCACUUUGGAGCAUUUUAGAUGUAGUAUAUGAACAUACUAAAAAUAAUAAAGUAGAAUAUAUACUACCACAUGAUAGUAUAUUAGAAAUGGGUGUAGCUACACCCGGUAGUAGGAACUAUUAAACAAGCCAGCGUGUGAAAUGGGCCGACGUGCCAGCCCUAUUAACUAACUGGUCGUACCUAGGCCUUGAAGGGCAGCACGCAAGCCGGCACGGCACGGCCCGCUUACUAAUCAUGCCCCCGUGGGCCAUGUCGUGUCUGGCACGAUUACCAUGGGUCGGGCUGGCCCGUUUAGCCAGCUUGGGCUGGCCUUACUCGGCAACCUACCCCUUUGUGACGGAGCUCCCAAGAUGACAGUUCACCUACUCCCUCAUUGCACUUUUCAUUCGAGGGUAUGCAUGGGCCCUUCUCCAUACCUCCGAACUCUCAUGCUUGUGCAACUCGAGUAGAUGCGUCCACGACCUCCAUUAAGGCAUGGUGGUGUAAGAUAUGAGCCACCACGCGAUCGAACUCCAACAAGAAGCAAGCUACCACUGCAUGUUUCGUUGCAUGGAAUCUCUCAAAAGAGAAAACCGAAGAACCAUUGAGUGAUUGAGAGCCACGCCUGAGGUUGUUGCCGGCCUAAUCUGGGACGAGUCAAAAACUCUUUUGGAAGGGACACGGUUAACUGAACAUGAGUAUUUCAGUCCUUGCGUGAUGUACAGUUGCCCGUCAAACAAAUGAUGCUCAAAUUUGGUGGUGAAAUGAUAUUUGAGGAUCUCGAGACAAAAAAAUAGAUUAUCUAAUUUUAGUCAAACUUUUUUUGUCUAGAUAUCCUUGAAUGUCAUUUGGCCACUAAAUCUUGCAAGUAUACCUGGCCAAACCUCGGGCCGGGCCGGGCUUCGGGCCGGGCCUAGCCAAGCCCGAUGCAAUAAACCCAUGCCUGGCCCGGCCCGGUCAUCGGGCUUGUUUUCCGGGCCCGAGCCCGGCUCGAACACGUAAAAGCCCGUCGGGCUCCGGGGCGACCCGGCCCAACCUUCAAAAAAAUGCAAAAACGAUGGGCCCAGGCUCGGCCCGGCCCGGCCUUCGGGCUCAAAAUCUAGGCCCUGGGGCGGCGUCGGGCUGGGCCGGCCGGGCCGGGCUUCCCAUGGCCAGGACUACUUGCAAGUACCUAAUACAUUUGGACAUGCUCGAAGCCAAAAUUUUCAGAUUUUUUUAAUUUUGCUAAUUGUUUUCAGUUUUACUGUUUUUCGUGGGUGCAAUGCACCCAGCUUUACAAAAAAACUGUCCCGGAACCAUUUGGUCAAGUUCGAAGCCACAAAUUUUUCAGACUUUGUUUCUGCUAUCUUUUUUAUUCUACUGUUCUUCGCAGGUGCGGUGCACCCCGGUUUAGCCACAACUUUUCCAUAAUAUUUUUUAUUUCGACUGCAAAUUUAUUCAAUUAAAUACGUAUGGAGCAGUACAUGUUAAAUAUUCCAUGAAAGUAAAUGAUUUCCGCACGUAUUCCUUACACCAUCCAUCCCAUCAUGUAAGACGUUUUUUGAUACUCCGUCCGGAAAUACUUGUCAUCAAAAUGAAUAAAAGGGGAUGUAUCUAGAUGUAUUUUAGUUCUAGAUACAUCCCUUUUGUCCAUUUUGAUGACAAGUAUUUUCGGACGGAGGGAGUACUACAUUAGAGCAUCUCCAAUAGAUGCACAAAAAUCCCGCGCCCUAAAAUAAUUUUAGCGCACCACUGUAGCACUUUUAGUGCGCCGGACCCAACAUCACUUUAGCAUAUGCCCAAAAACGCGCGCCCAAAAGAACACACAAUGUAAAUUGUGAAGCGCGCACAAUUCAAUGCCUCAAAUUUGCAGCUUUUGAUAGCGUUUUUCAGCGCGCGCCCAACUCUUUUUUGCGCGCGCACUGUUUUAUAGCUUCUGCUGGAGCUGUCCGGCGCCCAAAAAACCCGGAUUUUAACGCGCGGCCCAGUUUUUGGGCGCCUGUUGAAGAUGCUCUUAGUGUCAAAAAAACAUCUUACAUUAUGAAACCGGGAGGGAGUAGAUACUAAAGCUAGCAUCUCAUACAUGGAUACACAAGCAUACAUAGUUGGACCAUGCAAUAUAUGCCUAGCCCCGGCCGGCCGGCCAGCCAGCAGAGGCGCUACGGCCCAUUGCACUUGCUCAUACACUCGCUUCUGCAGCUGGUCAGGCAACCCUGCUGAUGCCCGCGCACGCACCAGCUGCAAUCAUUGUAGGAACAAGUGACGGUGCAUGCUUUGUCGGCGACGGCGCCGCAGUCACAGCCGCCGUCGGUGCAGUUGGCCGUGCACUCGUCGAUCUCGGCGGUCUUGCACUUGUCGCAGCGACCUUGAACGAAAAGGCAACCGCAUGUCUCGGAGAGGGGGGCUGUGCACAACGAAUAGCACGCCUGGCUCCCGACCGAGUAACAGUCCCCGCACGAUACCCGCGGCGCUGGCGCCGGGGCUGGCGCUGGUGGUAUCAGUUCGGGUGGCGGUGGCGCCUGUGCCGGCGGCGACGGUGGUGGCGGUGCCGGCCCCAGCGACGGACAGCGGCCCGACGAAGGUAUGACCAGCAUGGCGGCCACGGCGGCCGCCUUGAGAGCCAGGCCGGCUGAAGCCAUCAGAGAAGAAGACACAACAGGAUGAACUGUAAAGUGUGCUCGUGUACACCGAGUAUGGUUGUACGAACUAGCAAGAGAAGGCAUAGUUAUUUAUGGGCACGGCCAGAAAUCAUACUUAUAGCUAGCGAUCAUGUACUGAGAUUACUAUACGUUACGUAAGAUGCAUCAAGUUGCAUGUCGUGCAUGUUAGGCUGGCCAUAGUGGGGUAACAUAAGUAGUAUCAUGCACUUGAGACUUGCAAACAUGCUUAUGUGGCAGGCAAUUAAAGAAGAGAGAGAUGAUUAUAGUAACAUCGGUACAUACUGUAACAUAAUAAAUGUGAUGUUACUAUGUGUCAUGCACGGUAAUAAAUGAGACCACCUAUGAUAUUAAUCUAUAAUACUAUGCACUAUAGAGGUAGUAACAUAGACUAAUAACAUAUGCAUGUUACUAGUCUAAGUUACUCCCCACUAUAACCAGCCUUACAAGUACUGUUGACAUGGCUGCAAAGAGGAUCGAUGAGUGCAUAUACUAUGUAGAAUGCCUCAAGUUGCAUCUCGAGAUCUGCGCCAUGCAUGUUACAAAGUUGACAUGCAGGGAUAGUACUUAUCUUGACCGGGCACGAUUCCUGGCGGACUUUCUUUCUGCUUUUGGCUUGGAUCUAGAUUAUUGACUAAGGAGGGGACCGGGAUGCUUUUCAUGUUAUGGCUACCAAGAUCCGAGCUACUGCCACCUCUCUUCUGCAGCUCCAGUCCGGCGGCUAAGAUUUGGUGGUCCUUUUAUCGUCUCUUCUUAGUCUGCGGCCUGCGUGCCGUGUACUAGCCUGGGAGCCAUGUAUGUUUGCUUUUCCAAACUUUUGUAUUGGGCGUUGAUACUCUUAUGUGUGAUUUGUGAUGUAGUUUCGUUGUUACUCUGAUGGCUUUAUUUAUAAAGUCGGGCUCUCGCCUUUUCUCUAAAAAAAAGAUCUCCAUGGAGAAAAAACCUACUUGAUUAAUUACCCGAAUGUCUCUCAAAACCUUACUUUUGAGGACAACUUUGCAUGGAAAAUGUAUUUCCGGGGUGGAGAAAAUCAUAGGAAUACAAAUUUUCAUAUGACGACACCACUCAUAUGUUUUUCAAAGGAUUGGAGCAAAAGGGAACGGGGGGAAAUUACAUUUGAUCCGACAAUCAACUUGGGUCUCUUUGGUUCACAGGAUUCUAAAAACACAGAAUAAGAAUGGAUCAGGACAACAUGCCAUAUUAGAUCCGAUAUAGUUGUCAAAAACACAUGAAUCUACAAUAGAAGGUGUUUGGUUGCACAACAGGAAAAAUGCAGGAAGUUUUCCAUAGCAUUAGAUGCAUGAAAUAGUUGCCAUAAAAACAAUAAAUUUUUUUGGCUAGAUGGAAAUAUUCCACCGGACUCGUAUGCAAAAUUUGACCUUAGGAGUAAUUCCCAUGGUUUGCAAUCUUAGAAACCGAACAAUUAAUUCAUGGUUCACAAUCUUACAAACCGAACAAUCUUUGUAAAGAAAAUCACGAAGAAAUGGAAUCCUUCAAAGCUAGUAUGGAACUCCUUUUUUUGUGAAAUAACUGGUAUGGAAGUCCUUUGAACCAGAUAGGCUCGACCUCUUUUUCAAAUUUCUAUGCACGAAGAUGGAGACCGAGAUCCUUAGUGGCAUAAUAACAUUCUAAUUUUACAUUUUUCAUGUAGUUUCACUUUGAUUUGAUUGUGGUUAUUAGGAUUAUUAUUAUUUCCGAUUCUUCUACACCAAACACCCAAAUAUGCCAAAUUCGUGUCUUUUUCAAUCCUCUAUUUUGCGCAUACAUUAAUAUUGCAUUGCCACAUUUUCCAUUUUAGAAUCAUGAGAACCAACAAACCCUAAAAGUUUACAUAUUUUUUGAUUUAAAGUCAUUGGGAUUUGGUCUGUUGGGUUUCAAAAACUUAAUGUUACCAAAAAUACUAUGCGAUAAAUUAUUUUCAAAAUCACAAAUUAAAUAUGGAUCCCGAUUCCUCGGAAGGACUUGUUUUGACUUCUAGUUUGCCAUGGAUCUCCGUGGAGAAGAACACACACUUAAUUAAUUAAUUACGCAAAUUAAAAUCUAUGGUCAAAACCUUACUACUUUUGGGGACAACUUUGUGCGGACAAUAUAUUUAAGGGGUUUGAAAGAAAAGUGAAGGACAAUCAGGAAAACAGACGAAUUUUACAAUCCAGAUGGGGGCUCUUUCGGUCACAAGAUUCUAAAAGUGCAGGAAUAGAAAAGAUUCGGAUAACAUGCCAUAAUGGCUCCUACAAGUAUCCAAAACACAUGGUUUUGUAACAGAAGAUGCUUGGUUUACACUAAAGGAAAUAUUCCUGAACAUUCCAUAGAUUUCAUAGAAACAUAGGAAAAAAUCCUUGAGGUUGGACUCAAUGGAAAUCUUCUCUGGAAUUGCAUACAAAGUAGACCAUAGGAGUGAUUUCUAUAUUUUCCAAACCUGAAAAAACAAACAGCCCGUAUAGGAAAAUUCCCUAAGAAAUGGAAUCCUCCAAAAUUUGUAUGUAAUUCCUUUCAAAACUAAAUAGGCCCGACUUCUUUUUUAAAUCCCUGUGCACAAAGAUAGAUAUUGGAGUCCAUAGCGACAUAUUAUCAUUUGAGUCAUACUUUUCACAUGGUUUGACUUUGAUUGGACCAUGAUUAUAAUGAAUCAUGUGUUUUCCUAUUCUUGUAAACCAAACACCCAACUUUGUAGAAUCAUAUAAAUAUUUUGUACGGAUUCAGCUGCUUGUAGAAAAACGUUAACAUGCUUUGAAAAUAUAUUCAUAGAUUGUGAAAAUGGUUAUAUAUUCCCAAAGACGAACAUGAUGAACUUAAUUGUGUCAAAAAUAUAUUUUUUAUCAAAAACUCAAAUUAACACCAGAAGAAUUGGUGAAUAUAUAAAUCCAUCUUACUCCACCCAUUUUGUCUGCAAAAACUGACUUGUAUUCAUCUCCACACGCACACCUUACUCCACAGAUUUUUUGUGUGGGAAAUCAAUUGACCAUGUACCAGUACUGCAAUGUACCUACCAACCACACGAAAAGAUUCUUGUGACCUAGCAUGAAAAUUUUUUUGUGGUAUAGUACCUGAGAAUCUAAUCUGGCACUCAUGCUCCUAUACACAUAAAUGUACCCAAAAAAUGCUCCUGAGAUUCAUUUAAUCUUGCAUUGAGUGACGUUUUAGAGGACAUAGACAAAAGGAUGCCAUCAAUUUGUAGCACAUGGGCAUCUAUCUUCAGGACAGAGCCCUGGCUCAUUUCAUAGGAUCCUAAGGAAAAAAUCCAAACCUUGUUGCGAAAUGUGAAGGAAAUUGGCAUUUGGGACUGAAUUAAUAGGUUAGUCUAGAAAUAUAAUGAUAUUUGAUAUCUAAACUAUGUCAUUGUGAUAUAAAUAUAGCAUGAAGCAAGCAAAAAAGUAUAGACACAAAGUAUAGGACAUAUCAGUGUGUCUUUGGCGGUGGCCAAUAUAUAUUUAUAGGAGAACCUACAAAGUCUCGGGUCGCGAUCACGAUCCAAAUCGACUAGAUUUACAACUCGAAAACUUACUUUUCAAGAAACCAAUAAACCUACCGGCCAAGACACCAAAAUAUGAAACGACAAAAGGAAGUCGAGCUCCUGCAAGAGCACAAAUAGGAUUUCGGCAGACCGUUCACGCGCAUGUCGCACGCCCGCACCCUUUGCUCCGUCUCGGCCCCGCAAGGCGAGCGUUGUGUGGUAUUCUCUUUCUCUCCUCAUACACAUCAUUUAGUGGAGUGGGGAGAUUCCACUAUAUAAGUUGGUCUCAGCAACAUCCACUUCCAUGGUGGGACUAAAGAUCUCACCUUCUCUCUUACCAUUUAUUCAUGGGUCUUUGAGAGUUAUUAGAAUUUUAGUUGUUGAGUCAAGCCCAAGUAUUCUAACAUGAGACCCAUCCAAACAUUUGCUCUUUGAGAUGGAUUCAAGCAUUGUGAAUUAGCAUUCUAAUGCAUGUUAGGGUUUUUCCUAAUACACGCAUAAAUACUACUUUAUGUUAGUUUUCUGUCAGCGAACAUCGAGAGAGGAGAGAAGGAUGGCAUUCAUGUAACCUAGCAGGAAAAUAUUUUUGUGCUAUAGUCUUGAGAAUCUAGACACAAUCUGGCACUCAUGUUUCUGUACACAUAAAUGUACCCCAAAAAAUACUCCUGAGAUUCAUUUUAGUCUUGCAUUGAGUGUCGUUUUAGAGGACAUAGACAAAAAGAUGCCAUCAGUUUGUAGGACAUGGGCAUCUAUGUUCUUUUUUUUUGCGGGAAAUGGGCAUCUAUAUUCAUGACAAAUUCAUGGCUCAUUUCAUAGGAUCCUAAGGAAACAAUCCAAACCUUGUUGCAGAAUGUGAAAAAAACUAACACUUGACACUAAAUUAAUAUGUCAUCAUCGCAUGUUGCAUGCCCGCACCCUUCGCCCCAACCCACAGCCUACUCAUGUGAUCUUCUCUUCCUCUCCUCAUACCCAUCAUUUAGUGGAGUGGGAGACUCCAUUAUAUAAGUUGGUCUCACACCACCUUCACUUUCAUGGUGGGACUAAAGAUUGCACCUCCACUUUUGCUACUUACACAUCGGCCUUUGAGAUAUUUUCUUAGGAUUUAGUAUUGGGCCAAGCACAAAUAUUUUAACACUUAUGGGUGGGGGCGGUUUUUUUAUCACUUAUGGGUGGCAUCGGUGGAUAAUAUUUUGCAACUUUAGGGGCAAUUUCGGUGACGUAUCGCCAGAAGCAAUAGCCCCUUUAUUAUUAGAUAAAUAUGUAUAAAAGGUGAAUUUUAUAGGAUGGUAAUUUGACCCGCAAUGAUGUAUGUCAUUAAGUAGACAGGGUGCGUGGAAGCUAGUUGUCCAUGAGGUAGAACCAUGAAUUGGUUGUGAGAUUUUAUGGAUUUCAGCUCCAGCCUAUCUCAACAAGUUUGAGACUAAAGGAUUUAUUGUUGUCACUUGGCAAAUUAAACACACAGGUCUCUCCUUUUUCCUGUUUUUCUCCGCACAUGGAUGCUGGUCUUCGAUUUGUGUUUGUUUUUCUCGAGAGAAAAAAAAGAGUAGGACCCGGUUCCAUUUAUUGAUCGGAUAGAAAAAAUUACUCAGCAAACUUUGUGCCUAUUCGACAGUAUAAAAGGGCGAAAGGAGAAAAAAAGGAUGGACUAGGUGCUGAAGCGUCUCAUACAUGCAUACACAGUUGACCAUGCAAUAAAUGCACAGGCUAUCUACCACGACGGCGACGGCGACGGCGACGGCGACGGUGGUGACGGCCAUGAGCCAAAGCAGUUGUAGCAAUCGGCCGGCGAGCCGCAUUUGGCCAUGCAAGCCUCGCGACGCCCCUGCCUGCACGAGUUGCAUUCAUCGUAGGAACAGACGGCGGCGCAUGCACUGCUGGCAGCGUUGCCACAGUAGUCACAGCCGCCGCCCGUGCAGCUGGCUGCGCACCUGUCGAGCUCGCUGUUCAUACACUCGCCGCAGUGAGGACCCUCCGUCAAUUGGCAAACGGUGCAGAUGAGGUCGAUGGAGACUGAGCACUCGGAUAUGCAGGAAGUAUCCAAGUAACAGUCGGCCAUGCAUGGUAACUCCUGCUGCCACGGCGACGGCCCUGGCGCUGGCAGUGGCGGUGCCGGCUCGGGCCAGUGCGCCGUUUCCGGCGCCGGUGAUGGUGGUUCCGGCCCCGGAAACGGAUAGCUGCCCGAUGAAGGUAUGGCCAGCAUGGCAAGGACGGCAGCGAUGGCGGUCGCCUUGAGAGCGAGGAGGCCUGCUGAAGCCAUUAGAAAAGAAAGUACUUGCAACGAUAAAUAAAAUGGAGAAGAUCGACUUAACCUGGUGUGAGUACCAAGUAAGAAAGGGCAGGGUUAUAUAUAUAGGCACGGCCCAAGAUCAUACGUAUAUCUCUCACAUGGUAUCAGUAUGUGCUACAAUGCCUCAUAUAGUUAAUAGUUUCAUGCACGUUACAAGCUGACAUUCGUAUACUGGUAUGUAAUAAAAUUAAUGCGUACAAGUAAGAUUAAUUCGUAUAGUUUCAUGCACGUUACAAGUUGACAUUCAUAUAGUUUCACGCACGUUACAAGUAAGAUUAAUGCACCAAGUCGCAUGUCGAGAACUGCGGUAGUGCAACGUAUAUCUUGACCUUGACCGGGCACAGUUUUGACUUCCAAAUGUAGAUUGGAUCUCCGUACGUGGACGAAACACUUAAUAAUCAGAUUGGAACAAAUCCUUGACGAGACUUCGCCUCACCUCGGACAUGGGCCUAACAUUUUACUUCCAAACAUCCAUGCUAAUAUGUAGAGUAAAUUAGACGCAAAAAAAUAUGUGUUGAUGCCCGUUGAUUCUCCAAGAAUGAGAACACCGCAGUCACAACCCCCACUGAGAUUCAAACCAAAACAAUCCAAUCAACACAAAGGAAAAUGGAAAACUGACUUGAGCGGUGCUGAGGUAUGCUCUGUAGAAUGCAUUAAGUUGCAUGUCAAGAUCUGCACAGUGCAGGUAACAAGUUGACAUGCAAAUCUCACAUAUACUACUUAUCUUGACCGGGUACGGGGCAAGAUUCCUCAUGUAGAUUGAUUUUCACUUCCAGUUUGGUUUGGAUCUCCGUGUAGGAAACACUUAAUAAUUAGAUUCGAACAAAUACGACUACGCCACGCCUUGGCCAUGGGUCUAAGCACUAACAUCCAGAAAAAUACUAUGUUCAAACUCUUUAUGGUAAGAAUAGGGAACUUAGAGAGGAGUGUUAACCCUGACGGGUAGGGCCCACAUCUGACUUAAGUGUCUACACAAAUGGUGUUGACUUUUAGUACCAUUUGGCCCAGACUGGCGGGCCCGGCAUGUCAGAAACACGUUUAAAUCGACCAAAUUGGCUCACUAGUGGUUUUUAAGAAGCGUUAUGCCAAGGUUGGUAGCUUCUUGUGGCAGUAAAACAAUGUGGUGAUUUUUGAAACAGUAGACAAGAAUAUGAUGGCUUUAUGAUAUUCACUCCAAAAGAAAAAAUUGAACGCCAUAGUCAGAGAUUUGAAGCAAAAAAAACCAGUUGACAGAAAUGAAGAUGGAAGACCGACUUAGCGGUCUAGAAAAUAUGUGUAGAAUGUAUUAAAUUACAUGUUGAGAUCUGCACAGUGCAGAUAACAAGUUGACAUACAAAUCAGCACUCAUGUAUCUUGACCGGGCAAGGGGCACGAUUACUCGCGUAGAUUGGUUUGACUUCUAGUUGGCUUAGGGUGUGUUUGUUUGGGCUGCAACUUCUUCGGCUGCAGCUGCAACGGCUCCGGCUGGAAGGAGCGGCUGUAGCUAAAAGGUUGAAGCUGAGAUGCAGUCGUUUGGUAGUUAUGUUGUAGCAGCUGCGGCUGAUGCUAAAAUAUGUUGAAUGACUAGAAAGCCCUCAGUUGUUCCGUAAAUUGGAUGUAAGUACUGAUUGCAUUGUUAUAAGUGUAAAUGGCACAUUUAAAAGCUUUUUUAAAAAGCUAUUUUAUCAUUGGUUUUGAGCAGAAAAUAGGACAAUACAUCUCUCAUAUUACUAAUGAGCUUGGUCAUACACGGAUACACCAUCUCUGGAAAAAAAUGGACCUGUCUCUCAAUCUUAAUCAGUGAAAUAUGAGAUUGCGUAGAUCGGACAUUUGUUAUGUCCAAAAAAAAAGGCUCAGGAGCAAUUUAAAAGCUUAGUGCUGUAUUGUUGUGUCUUUACCACAAUAUCAAUUUAACUUUUGGACCUCAAUUUUUUCGGGGAAUUUUUUUUUGAACGAAAAAACGCGUUUUCUUUUUUUCCUUUCGCGAGACUCAUGGUUUUUCUUCCGCGAGAGGAACGGUUUUGCUUUCAUGAGAGUCACGGCCGUGCCUCUCGAAAACGGAAAAAACGUGUUUUCUAUUGUUUUUUCCUUCCGCGAGAGGCACUGUUUUGCUUCCGAGAGAGGCACGGCCGUGCCUCUCGGAAAUGGAAAAAAAAUGGAUUUUCUGUUUUUUUCUUUCCGUCCGAGAAAGGCAAGGUUGUGCUUUCGCGACAUGCCUCUCAGAAACUGAAACGCGUUUCCUGUUUUUUUACUUUCGUGAGAGGCACGAUUUUGCUUCCGUGAAAGGCAUGGUUGUGCUUUCGCAAGAGGCAUGGCCGUGUCUCCUCGGAAACGAAAAAAAUGUGUUUUCUUUCUUUUUCUUUCGCGAGAGGCACGGUUUUGCUUCCGUUGGGAUUUCGCGGUUGUGAUUUCGCGAGACGCACAGGCGUGCCUCUUUCGGAAAGGGAAAAAACCCGUGCUCCUGGUUUGGUUUUUUUGUCCGGUUUUUUUCGUGAAAAAAAGUUUGUCAAAACCUAUCAACAUGGGAUCUAGUUUUGAAGAUCUCGACGCGAGGAAUCUAACGGUGAAAACGGUUUAAGAGAUAAAACGUUCUGAAUAAACGAAUCUAUGAAAAAAGAAAAAUUCUCAAGUUGCGAUAAGUGGCGCAUAUGCAGCAAGCCACUUGUCGCAACCUGGGGUGUUUCCGGAGCUAGUGAUUUCGAGCUUCGGCGCAUUUCCGCGGAACGCUCCGAAGGAGCCGGGAGUGGAGAUGGGCCGAAAAUUUGUUGUUUGUUUGGGCUUCGGCUUUUAUGGAGUAGAAGCCGGAGCCCAAACAAACACACCCUUAGUCUUGUCAUAGUGGGGAGUAAUUUAGAUUAAUAUCAUGCAUAUGACCCUACUUUAUGUUAGUAACUUCAUAAUGCAAAGUAUCAUAGAAGUAGUGCUACCUAUCUUAGUCUUGUAUAAAAACAAUCAUAUUUAAUAAGAAAAGAGAGAGCAAGUAUAUCUUUAUCUAGAUAUACUUACAAUUUGGCUUUGAAAAGUAUACCAUUAGAAAAUAGAACAUCUGUAGUUUCUAAUGAUGUAAUUUUUGUGACAUAAAACUUGUAUUCCGUUGGUUAAAUCAUGAACCUAGGGAUACAAUUGAGCCUUCUAAGCCAGAAAGGAGGUAGUAUCUAAUGGUAUUUAAGUAUUGUAUGUUUAGAUAUAGCAGUCCUAGUGAGUAGGGCAUUUUGGAUCUCGGCCUGCAUGGAGGCCGAAUUUUUGAAAAAAAAAGUUUUCGAUUCAAAACAAUCUGAACUUUUUUGUACAAGUAAAUAAGGAUUUGAGGUUAUGUGUGUAAAAAUCUGAACUUUUUUGUACAAGUAAACACAUUUCUUUAUCUUCAUCUUUACCUCUUUACCUAAUAAUAAAGAAAAUUGGGUUUUGUCGUCCGUCGUCGUCAGCGAUUUUGCAUAAAAGUCCCUCGGUUUAUAAGUAACUAACCUGCAGUCCCUGUUUAGUGGGUCUCUAUAUAACAUUUCAAUUUUGCAAAAAGGACCCUAGCUCCGCAGCGCCCCGCCCCCUCCUCCCCUCGCCGCCGUCCGUUUGCGUCCUCUGGGCAAAGCCCCCGCGUGGAUUUGGCGGCGACGAGGCCUCUGGCGCGCUGCAGCGGCUCAGCUGCGAGGAGGCAAGCGGGGCUGCGUGCGGUCGUCCUCCCGUGCUCGCGCCCUCCCGUGCUCGCGCACGACACAGAGGCCAUUGCGGUGGCGAACUUGGUGGGGAAGGCGACCUCCGGUGAGGGGCGGCGGAUCCGGGCGCUAGAUGGCCAGAACGGGUGGAUUCGGGGGAAAUCCGGCCGGAUCCGGUCGUCGAGGUGCUCCGGCGGCGGACUAGGGGCAAGCACGGGGUGGCUUGGCAUCGGGUGGAGCCCCAUGGCCAUCCAUGGCAGACAGAGAGAGGUUAGAGAGAUAAGAGGAAGGGGAAGCAGAGGGAAAACGAGGCAGGGCGGCGGCGCUCGCCGGCACGGUUGCUGGUGGACAGACUGCGAUGAGGCAGGGAGACGUGGGCGCCAGGCGGUGAUGCGGCCGCUCGGGGGCUCGAGUGGCGCGGCUGCUCCAUACAAAAUGGCGGUGGCGGCCAGAGUGCAGGGGCAGGGGAGGCGGAUCCGGAGGUGGGAGGCGAGGCGGGGUUCACCGAUGACGACGAGGAAGGCCGGAGCACGGCUUCUCGGCCAGAUCCAUGGCUCAUGAGCAGAAAGGAGACAGGGAGGUGAAGAAGAGAAAAAGGGAGAAGGGAGGGGCAGUGUGGUGACAAGGCAGGUGCUCGCCGGACCCGAUCGACGGCGGACGGGCGCCGGAGACGGAGGGAUCUGGCACGGCGGAAGUGAAAGGCGGCAACUCCGCCGGCCUGUCUGGCGACACCAACCAGGCCACGAAUGGCGCAGCACAGUUGUCACAGCCACUCCAGCGAGUACGAAUGAGGACUUGACCACGAAGUAAUCCAUUCAUCUACCUUCUUUUCCUACUCCCCCUCGAUCUGGUUCUCAUUCGCCAUGUUCUUCAUCUGCAGAAAUCACUCAUUCGUAGUUUGGCUCACUUUCAGGUCUACAACGCCAUGUUUUCCUCACAUUCAUAGUUUAGCUCUUUAGUGAGGAAUCUCAUGCAAUCUUCUGAUAUUUGACAGUAAUUGGUGUCGGUACAGAAUGGGGAGCAGUUCUCGCUUUGGACAUUUUUAGGAUGUUGUUUGGCAGCAUGUUUUUAAGAAAUGCAUAUACAGUAAAGCUCACAAAGGCCAGCUAAUAUGCUUGCAUCUUUGCCAUGAAAUUACAGUAUGACAUGUUGUUCAAAAUAUUUUCGCUCCAUGAGGAGAAAGCUAAAUCCAGUUACAACAUGUUAGUGGAGUUCACAACCUGUAUCUUUGAGUGGUGCAAUGGGCUGCCUAGAUGCUGCCCUAAGGAUGAGCGGGUCAAGGUGCUGGACUGGAAGCACGGGGAGGAGGAUAAUUCCGUCAGGUACAACAGAGCCGUCGACUAAAGAAUUAACCGAACCAAUCGCUUUAUUUGAAGCUCUGAUUGUAGUUAUUUUUUUGUUCAUUAUUUUUUUAUCUUAAUAUGGGAGGAUUAUCACUGUAUAAUCUGAGAUCCUGACACAUCAACAUUUUAGCAUUGAUAAAUGUGUCACUUUGACUGGGUCUAUUAGGCAGUACUUGUAAGGUCUAUAAUUCUAAGUUCGACCUUUAAUUGGUAACUAAUCACUGGACAUCUGAUUGCUGAUUUAUGUGUAGAGAGAAAACUUAGUUCAGUUGUUAAAAUAGCAGUUGUACUAUUCCUAAAUUUUGUCCGAAUAGCUGGCUAUUCUGCUAGACUUGAACUAUUUUCAGUUUCCCUUUCACUGGAUACUUUUAGUGCUAACAAACAAUCUUUUCUUUAAUUGGCAGUAAUUUGCAGUUGGGUGGGUAUUGCUCGUUCUCAUUUACAUAUCUUUUCCGUGGCCUGUGUUGAAACAUAAUAACUUGUUGUAGACAUUGUACAAUGAUCAUAUUUCUCUUUUCAUUCCUUGGCCAGCUUAGAUUUUACCGAUCUGGUACAUGGUUGACAUAGGAACUAAGAUGUGCAGAUACGGUUGGCUAAUGUCAAGCAUACUGGAGGAAAAAAGGAGGUUAUGUUAGUUAUUUUUCUUCUUCAAGAGAUUUGGUGGCCCUUCUUGGUAUGUCCAAUUGUUAAAUAUAGCACUGCAUCAACCAGACCUUAAUCCUCCACUUCUGUAAUUUGGACCACAAGAAACUGUAGUUAAAUUGCAGUCUUUUGACAAAGUAAAGCCAUACACCUGAGUGUAGCAUUUUGGAGGACGAGCUUCAUGGAGCUCGUUUUCUGAAAAAUUCAAAAAUCAUAUUUUUAAGUUCCAGAAAAUUCUGGAACAAAUCAUAAACAUUCAUAUGGAUAUGCUUUACAUGUAUAUAAAGUAUGAGGAUGAAAUACAUUAUGAUGAGAGCUACAAAAAAGACAAAUUCAUGCAUUUUUAUAAUGAACAGUGCAUGUCAUGUUCACCAUUUCAAAAUCACAAUUUUGUCUUUUUUAUGUAGCACUCACCAUAAUGUAUAUCAUCUUAAAAUUUCCCACACAUGUAUAACACAUCCGUAUGAACAUAUAUGAUUUUUUUAGAUUUUUUUGAAACUUCAAAUUUGAUUUUCAUUUUUUUAAAAUAAAUAGCUCCAUGGAGCUUGGCCUCCAUUUAGCAUUUUGUCCUACACCUGGACUAUAUAAGUAAGCAUAGGAGCUAAAGUUCCUUAGAUAGUUGUUGUUGACAGGUUGGUAUUUACGCAUAUUCAUCUAUGAGCAUAGUCAUUUGUGGAUAUAGUCUUCAAGCACCAAUAACUGAAUCCCAAUAGGCAUUUUCCCGGUCCCUAAAUAAUAAGUCUUAAUUUGUGCAGUGCUAUGCAAUCAGCGAAAAAGUAGCCUUUUGAACUCUCGAUAUGGUAUGAGUGCUCAAGAGGAAUCAAGGCUAAAAUUUGUCUUUCAUCGAUUACUAUCUAUUUAACCAAAUAACAGAGAAUGAAUGACAGCCAUAGCUGCUACGGAUUUGAUAAAUGCAUGUUCUUGGGACGAACCAAGGUAAAGUACGGUUUCAAUAUGUUUCCUUUAAAUCAGGUAAGCAUCUCAUUUGCCCUCUAUCAAUCUGUUAUUUGUGCAUAUAACUUCUUCACUACAGUCUCAUUCUUCAUCACUCAGCCUUUUAAACUUAGUCCUAUAUUUCAAAGUGAAACAGUGUAAUGUGUUGUCAGUCUUGCUAUUGUUCAAGCACUAUAUUUCAUGCUAUAUUCUGGACAUCUUUUUGUUCAACUCAUAUGAUGUCACUCAUCUUUUGUUUUCUAUUUGGUUGCUUCAUCUAUUUGCAAUAUGAAUGCUCUAGAAUUUGUAUUCAUUGAACAUGAUUAGGACAACCGAUAAAAUGUAGAGGCUAAGUUGACAAAAUAAACUUUCACCAAAUAAAGAAAGUAAUUCUAAUUAUUCCUAAAGUUGUCAGAGGUAUUGCAAAAUUUCAAAAUUAGUUACGGUGACGAAGGUAUUCACAAGCACAGGUGCGAUGAAUUUUGCUCCCAUUGCAACGCACAUGUAUGUUUGCUAUACCUACUAAUAAAGCAAAUAGGUGUUCUUAGUCCGUUAUACUAUUUUAUAGAAAACCCCUGAUGUUUUUGACAUUAAACCCGUAGUACAUAUCAAAUCGAAUGUUUUUUAAAAUACUCAUAUCUUCUAAACUAUAACUACAAAUUUAACAUGUUAUAUAUGGAAUUUGAUUAGAAAAAUAUAUAGAAUCUGAAUAUGAUGUUAUUUUACCUGUUAGCCAUUUUAAAAAUACUAUCUAAGGUGCAAUCUUAAUCAACAAUGCAUUAUCCGUCUUUCUUUCAUAUCGGUAUUGAUCCAAAUUGUGGAUGACCAUCUCAGCAAAAUCAGAAUUGGAGACGAAAUUGAAGAUCACUUGCCUGUUUCUUUAUACGUAUUAAAUCUACAUGCAAACCGUGUUUAAAUAGAAGACAUUUGAGAUCUUGAACUUGCGCUUUUGUAGGCAAAGACGAUCUUUGUUUGGGACGUAGCUACAAAUACUCAGAUUAUAGACAUUUUUUGUAAAUUAUGAGUGUGUGGUAUUCUUUUCUCCCAUUGCAACGCACGGGCCCUUUUGCUAGUAAAUUAUAAAAAAUGAGAAUGUCCAUCAUGAAUUUAAUAAUGUUAAAUAAUUCAAAUAAUGCUUUAAACAUGUCUGUUCCGUAAAAAAAUGUGUCUUGCAUUUUAAAAAAAUGUUCAAGCAUUUUAGAACAAAUGUUGUAAUGUUUUUAAAAAUGAUUAUAAAUUGUAAAUUAUUUUUUUGCAUAAUGUAAGAAAAUGUUUCGUACCAUUCAUAAAAAUGUUCAUGAAAUUAUUUUAAAAAAUGUUCACACAACUAGAAAAUAUGUUUGUGACAUUUUUUAAAAAAUGUUUAGGCAAUGUACUCGUAAUUUAAAAAAAACAAUCAUACAUUGAAAAAUGUUCAACAAUUAUUUGAAAAUGUUUUAAGUUGUAUUCAAAAAAAAUCUUCAUCGUGUAUUUGAAAAAUAUUCAACGUGCAUAAAAAAUUACAUGUGUAUAAGAAAAUUUUAAAACGUGUGUUAAAAAGUAGACAUGUAUUGAAAAAUAAAGAAAAAAUGAAAAGAAAUGGAAAAACAAACAAAUGAAAAGACAGAGAAAGGGGAUAAAAAUAGAAAAAUAAAUAAAAGAGAGGCCAAUGAAAACCGUAAAGAAAAAACACAAGCAAAGGAAAAAAACCGCAUGGAACCUAACCAAACCGGUCAAGACCGAUGUAAGGUUCCAUGUUAUUGGCCCGGCCCACCGUACCGCUCGCUUGAGGUGAGGAGCUAGUGAGGCAUGGGCCUAGCGAGUGAAUCAUGCGCGGAUAUGGGAUCUCUCUCACACUGGCCUCAUUGGGCUAAAUCGUGGUCCUUUCGCUGGAGGCCGCUGGUUGUUCGUGUGUGCACACGGGGCGGUCUUCUCUCAUAUCAACCAUGUUUCCACUAGUUUUGUUGCCAUCAUUUUUCAUAAAGGAGAAUUAUCCCGAGCUUCUGCAUGAAGUGAUGCACACAGCCAUAGCUUUGUUUCCACCGUUGCUACGAAAUUUGAAUUUGAAAGCGAUGGCUUUUGUAUUUAUGUAGUACAAUUGUUUUCCUAGUUCUGUGUCAUGUUUAUUUUGAUUUAGUUUGUGAAUUUAAAAAUUCAAGGCAAUAUUUUUUAUAUAUUGCUCAUUGUGUUCUUUUUUCAUGCUUUUUUAUAUAUAAUUUGGGACGCGGACGGCUGUGCUUGGGGCGUUUAUCCCCACCAAAAUGUCGGGGCGGGCAUUUGGUUUACUUCACCUUCGGCGGCCGUGGUGCCUGCUUUGCUUUGUCGCAUUCAGCUAAAUAAUAACUUGGUAAAUCCACCCGUUAUCCACAAAAGAAAGAAAAACUUGAUAAAUUUCUUCUUGUCAUGCAUGGCAGCUGAAACCCACGUGGAAGAGGCUCGUAGUAAGUAUAGCAGUAACCUUUACGUGCAUUCACCUGUGUACAUCAGCCUAGAUAUUGAAAGCCGCUGUCUGCCCAAGGUGCGAAAUAUGUUCAAACAGGACACUACACAUCAAGGACGCCCGAUGCCGAGGAUUCAGGCACAUGUGAAGUUGUGCGUAACACUUAAUUCCAUUCAGGCCAUUUUUGCAAUUCAGGGGUUUAUUUUCCGAAGAAUACUCGAUGAGGAAGUUACCAUCUCAUGUCCUGAAAAACAGAGCUAAGCUAAGACCUUGUCCAAACAGGCAGAUAGAAAGCCAAGGAGAAGGAGAAGAAGCCAUCAUCUCCGUCGAUAUUUCCCCCCUAUUUAGUUGUACAGAAGCCCUGGUCUAAGAGCAUCUCUAACAUAUCUCGUAUAAGUUGACCUUAAAAACACGUAAUCGUUUCUAUGGUGCGAAAUUGCCCUGGACAAAGCAGACCCCGUAAAAAAAAGGUAUCCCACUAUAGCCCUUUUUUUUCAUUUUUCCUCCCGUCCCGGCAGAACCAGUCUCCAGCCACGGCGUGCCUCGCCCCGACGCCGCCCACCUCGCCCCCGGCGCUGCCCGUUCCCGGCCACGCGUGCAGCGGAGUAGCCCCGCGCCGCCCGCCCUAACCGCGUGCUCCCCGGCAUGGCCGUGCGAGCUCCUCGGCGCCCCCCUGGCCGUUCUCCGGCGCCUCCCCGCCCUGGUUCGGGCUGCCAGUGGCCUGCUCUGCCCUGCCCGUGGACGUCCUCCCGUCGGCAGUGGAGGUUGAACCGGCCGCUAUUUGGACCGGCGACGGCAAAUUCCGGUGUGCGGCGACUUCUUCCGACGUACGGCGACGGAUUCCGGUGUGUUCCUGGUAGAUUCCGAUGAGGUUUGACCGGUUUACGGGUUGAAUUGUAUAUUGCCUUUGAACCUGUACAUAUGAGGUUCUCGCGGAUGGAUUUUCGGUGCCCUUUAAAAAGUUAAAGGACCGAACGAGUUUUACAGGAUCUACUAGGCGCCAUGUUUUCGACCGAAACUGUAAACACUUUUUUUUAUACGGGUUUGAUCACUUGAAGGGGUAUGCUAGAUAUACUCUAAUAGGGCGUGUGAUUUAAUCAUGGACGCACAGACGGUAAUUACCUAUCCCCGCCAACUAACACACACAAAAAAAGUACAACGGUCUUGUCCCUGUCAACCUUAAUUAAUUAACAAGACUCAUCUUGGCGUCCUCCAUCGCUCGGUUGGUUGACUUGACCCCAAGUCUUUGGCCUCAUUCGCGCACGGCGCGCAAUCUUCUCAGAAGACGGCUACACAUAUUUGGCCGGUGAUCUUUCCCUUCUUAGCCACGCAAUGCAUGGGUAAUUUCUGUGCACUUUGCAAAAGCUUUGGCAAUUGCUUUUUGUUUUUUUAACGCACUCAACCUCAACCUCGAGCACCGGUGAUGCGAGGUGCCACGCGGAAGAACCGCUGGUUGUUCAGAUACUGUCCACUGAGUCCAGCACCGGAGGCAUGCUGGUCAAAGUUGAGGAUUCAGAUAGAUAGGCAAAUGUGACUGAAGAAGAGGUCGUUUUCACAGUUGGGAAGAAUCCAAUCCAACUGUCGAAUCAUAAGACACUUGAGCUGUAUCUGUAUACCGAACUGCACAUGUAAGUUGGGCUGAUGUGGGAAUGGGUUCUAUGAUCUGCAAAAAGAUGUGUCCAGAUUGGAUGCUCGAGAAGCACACUCUUCUGUGCUGAGGAUUCAGAUAAGACAUGUAACGGUUGGGAAUUUGACUUGUGAAUGAAAGCAUAAGACAGUCGAUCGAGUGCUGACGGGUGACACAAAAGUGUGUUGUGUUUCCCUACUUCUGGUUCCGGAACUAUUACUUCUGCUCGCGCCACUAGAAUUAACAAUUAAGUGUGUCUCUGUUUCUUUGUUAGGUCAAGUCGCAAAAGGAUUUAUUUUUUAAGUUGCAAUGGGAUUAUUUUUGGGAUAAAUAUAUUUUUUGUCCCUAAACUCUUUCAAAAGUAUAGGAAUAGUCCUUGAAUUCCAAAACCCGCAAAACAUAGUCCCUCGACUUUUCAAACCGGAUUAGUUUAGUCCCUCAUACCGCUUCGAGUGGUUUCCAUCUGACGUGGACACGGUUUUGACCAAAACUUGACACGUCACUUAGGUUUGACUGCCACGUCACAGUCCAUGUUAUUUUUUUCGAAACACGGUCCACAUCACCAACAGGGCCGGUCCUGAGAUUUCGGGGGCCCGGGGCGAACUAAAAAUUGGGGGCCCUUAAUAUACAAGUCAUUGUAAUAUACUUUUGUGUAAAAAAUGUAUAUAUAAAUUAUUAUCAGUAACAACUGAAUGGAUCCAAAAUCAGUAUGCGUAUCAAAUAAUUUAUACAUAUUACUUUAAGAUUUUCUUCUAACAUUCCUUGGCGCAAAGUCACUUAUAAUGGGGUCGAUGUCAAUCUCAUCCAAUAAUUUCUUCUCGAUGCAUAAUGUAGCCAAACCAUUUAACCUAUCUUGUGUUAUACCUUUUAUUUGCUUCAAAGCGGAGUCAAUGCACAUGGUUGAUGAUUGCAACAUCUUGCUAACAUUAUUUACAGCAAAUAGAAUAUCAUGUCAGAUAAUCGUACCAACUAGAAACUCAAAGCGACCAAGUGAGUCAAAUAAAUUUUUUCCAUCACUUUUUUGUUUAGGAUUAGUGUCAGAAGCAUGACAUAACUCAGACAAAACUGACCUUAACUCAGUGGCAUCCGACCAGUUACCUACAUUCUUGGAGCCACUUACAUUGUUAUUGCCGAUGUUGGAGUUGAUAUUUUCUUCUUGCUGAUCAGAGAGUCCAAUUUUUCAUUAGUUUGUUGCUCUUUCACUAUCGCAACAAUCGCCAACGCAUCAUCUGGGUUUGGCGAAGUAGUGGACGCAUCAAUAUUACUUGGCAUGAGAAAUUUGUGAAUACCUCCGCGCUGUGAGUGUAUCAGUUUAUUCACUAACUUCUUUUUUUUCCUUUUGUCGCUGCCUAAUGGAUAUUUCCUCCUGUUGGGCGGCAUGAGAACAAACACAAUGCUGAAAACAAAAAAAAUGUAUCAAUCGUUGAAUGGUGCCAGCCCUGAACAAAAGAAUUUAUUGUAUGAAUAAUAUACCUCAAACCUGAUGUCCAGAAUCCUGAUGGUCGAACUUCUGUAGUCUGUACGUUUCUAAAGUCUGCAGAUUUUUUUUAAGACAAUCUAAAGUCUGCAGAUGACGAAGAGGAGAGGAGCGCAAUUGAGCAAAGGUGCAAAGGCCAAAGGAGCGUGAAGAUGGGGGCCUCAGAAUUGAAACAGGCGGCGAACAUAACCAGAUUAGGAAGGAGAUUACCAGGGGACGUCGAGGUGGUGGGAGUGCAUCUGUGUGUGCGUGCGUGCACGGCGUCGGCCGCUAGCAACUAGGGCUGGGACGUGGGAAUCGUUACCGGGUUCUUCGUGAUGGAAUAGUCGAACGUAACAGGAAGGAAACCGUCCAGCCGCUGAUUGCUCGCUAUCUUUCCUUUUUUCCUGAGGAUCUCUCGCUACCUUUCCUGAGAACAAACGACUCGAUCGCUGGCCGCUGGGAUCAGGCGAUUGGCUUGCUAGUCUCCUGGCUUGCUAGUCUCUCAUAUACUCCCGUUCGUCAGACUGCAGUACUAUGGGCCAUANNNNNNNNNNNNNNNNNNNNNNNNNNNNNNNNNNNNNNNNNNNNNNNNNNNNNNNNNNNNNNNNNNNNNNNNNNNNNNNNNNNNNNNNNNNNNNNNNNNNNNNNNNNNNNNNNNNNNNNNNNNNNNNNNNNNNNNNNNNNNNNNNNNNNNNNNNNNNNNNNNNNNNNNNNNNNNNNNNNNNNNNNNNNNNNNNNNNNNNNNNNNNNNNNNNNNNNNNNNNNNNNNNNNNNNNNNNNNNNNNNNNNNNNNNNNNNNNNNNNNNNNNNNNNNNNNNNNNNNNNNNNNNNNNNNNNNNNNNNNNNNNNNNNNNNNNNNNNNNNNNNNNNNNAGGGCCGGCCCUGAUCACCAAGUGUCCCCAAUACGCCUGAGCGCGGCGAGGUCGGAUCAGAACCCCGACAGCGUCGUCCAUGACGGUGAUGCGGUGGAGAUGAUGCGGUGGACGUGGCGUUGGCAGACGAGUGACUUGGCCUCCCUGCCCGUCGAGCUGCAGUCUGCGCCCGGCGCGACGCCGCUGACCUUCUGGACAGGAGGCCAUCCGCGCACACCUCCACUUACGGCGUUGGCCACGCAUCAGAUCGUAUGCAGCGGCACGUAAGGUGCAGUCCAGGGAGCAACACGUCGCAUGCGUGUGUAUUCUUGGCGAGAUCGGAUCAGCAUGUUUUUUUUUCUUUUUGCAGGCAUCUCUGGCGGGCCAAAUCAAUAUGUACGUGAACGUAUACCUGCGUGUGCCGGCGGCUAGAAUUAAUCCAACAGCUAGUCUGCACUUCGUGUUUGAAAGAACUCGACUGGUCGCCGCACGCAUGCACGCGGGCCAAGCACCUCAAUCUCCGGCGCAUCUCGCGCUCCUUCCUGGAGCACGCCUGCCUCGCAGGAGACCCAAGGCCGCGCCCAGGUCGUCCUCUACCCGCCGCGGACGAGCUCGGUACUGUGCCCAUGGGUGCCGCCCAUGGCACGCAGUCGCCCGCCUACGUGAGAGCAACUAGAGCUCGCCCUCAUCGUCCGACAUAUUCAAAAGCGCUACAAUUUGCUGGCCAGAGCCACCCCGGCCGCGCCCCAGAGCUCCUCGCCUACCUCGUUUCCGACGGAGAAUCGCCACCACGACCGCGCUGGAACCAACUCCGAACUUACGCCAUGGUGGCGCGGACGAUCCCAGGAGCACCUGGUGGUGCUCUCUCCCUCUGCCAGCGCGCGUCUGUCUGUGCGUGUGCAUAUGUGAUGUGCGAGUGAGUGUGUGCUGGUGGGUGUCAUGUGCGUGUUUGUGCGUGCUGGCGUGUGCGCGCCACCGGCGAUCCUCGCCGUGCCGCCUGCACCCAGUACGUGCAAGCUCCACGUCACCUUCUUCUUCUGUUUCUUGGCGCGCGCCAACUGCUCGUCGAAAUGCUCAGCUGAGCUUAAAGAUGGGAAGGAAGAAGAUUGCCACGUUGGCAACGCUGGGUCAAAACCACGCCAACUCAGCACGAAAACUGCUUUUGUUGAGUCAAGGGACCAAACUAAUCCGGUUUUCAAAGUUGAGGGACUAAUGUUUGCUGGUUUUUUAGUUGAGGGACCAUUUCUAUACUUUUAAAAGAGUUCAAGGAUGAGAAAUAUACUUAUCCCAUUAUUUUUUGGCACUUAUGCAAAAUGGCCGGUGCGAGGGAGGGCCCGGUGUUUGAUGAACAUUGAAGUGAGGCCAACCAGGACAUUAUCUCCUGAGGCUGAGACCAGACUGGAUUAGAGUUAGCUUGCGGUUGCGGGAGACUCCUGAAGAGUAUGUGAAAUCUGAGUCAGCAUAUAGUAUCAAACAUAGAAGCUGGCAUCCCAUGUCCUCAACUUGAAUCAUGUACAACCACGUUAGGAUAAUGCCAUCCACCCGGAUCCGGCAUCUGAAAACAGGCAGAUACAUAUCAGGAAGCUAAGGAGAAGAAGGCUGGGAAGAAGCUUUCUCCGUACGUUGUCUAUUUUCUCUACGUGACUAACUUGGCAGGAGCCCUGCCUAGUUAUGGAUGUAUGUACAAAGCUACGUACAACAAAUGGUAGUUAUCUCCACCAACUGCUGACACAAAACAGUAGCCCAACGCCUUGUCCCUGUCAACCUGAAUGAAUGAAUGAAUUAGCUAGGGACACAAUGAGCCGAGGGUCCUCCAUCAUUAAUUUCGGUUGGUUGUUUAUAGCCUUUCCAUGGCACCAUAGCUCUUAGAUAGUAACAUAACACAUUUCAAGACAAUUUUGCUUAUGUGUCAUGAAGUUAAUGAGGAGAGAGAUGCUUGUGAUAACAUAUUAUGUUACUGUAACAUAACACACCCCGAGGUAAAAUGAGUCUAUAGCUCAAUUAAUGAAGGCUUGCAUGUUAUCAUUUAUAUGUUAUUAUCCAUUAUGAAGGUAGUAACAUAGACUAGUAACAUACUCCCUCCGUCCGCCAAAGAGUGGACGUCUAGGUUUUCUAAGACAAAAUAAGGAUUUUGCAAAAAAGCCCUCCCACCACUCAAUUAAGGCGCCACACCUCUGCUACUGCUUCGAUUCCUGCAGCAGUAAAUGAGAAGGGAGAAGUAAAACAGAACUUCCUGCAGCAGUAAAUGAGAAGGGAGAAGUAAAACAGAACUUUACCAAUAGAAUUUUGCUCCCGCCACAGUACUUCCCGCCAGCAACAACUAGUACUAAAAAUUAGAGGCGCCAGAUUACAGAAAUUAGAGGCGCCAAGUUUACAAUUUCAGUAGAUGAAGCGCCUGUGCCCAGCUAUAAAGCCAGCACAGUUGCACCAAGUAAAACAACACACACACAGACCAUGGCCAUUGACUUGAAUAUAGCACCAGGAGAGGGAGAAGAUGAACAUGAGCCUCCCUUGCAUGAGGAAGUGCUCCAGUUUGGUCAUCACUUCGAUCUGAACAUGAACCCGGGUACAUCUUGAUCAUCUUUUCAUUUGUUCCCCUUGAACAUGUGCACAUGCUGAUGUUUCUUCUUCACCGUAGAGGACGAACAUGAGGCUGCCUUGCUUAAAGAACCCCAGGUUGGUUUUGAGCCUCACUUGCAUGAAGAAGUACUCCAGGCCGGCCAUCAAUUCGCUGGAGAAGAUGAACAUGAGCCUCCCUUGCAUGAAGAAGUACCACUGGCUGGACAUCACUUCGAUCUGAACAUGAACCAUGGUACAUCUUGACCAUAUGCACAUGUUCAAUUCUUCUGCAUACUGUAGCUAAUCCUGAUGGUGUCUUCAUGUAGAACAUGAGGCCGACAUUUCCCAUGAAGAAGAGGAACAUGAGGCCGAUGUUGCCCAUGGAGAAGAGGACCUGCAUGAAUCAGAUGAAUCAGGUUAGUAAAACAAUUUAGUUAGCACAUUUGAAUGUUUAAUUACGAUCUUAUUCAACUACUCACAUAACCUCACCUUGUAGACGAUGAACUUGAAGACCACGGUGGUUUUUUCCAGAGCAUGGAAGAGGAAGUGCAAGCAAUGGAUGAAGCUCUAGAUAACCUUCAUGUUGACCCGGAGGACUAUGGUGUGUAUGCCGGAGAUAUAGAGAUUCAGUUUGACGAAGAAGAGCUUGAUGAUUCAGAACCGCAUGAAGCCAUGUACGAUUCAGCACCAGAUGAAGACAUGGAUGUGGAGCAAGAAGAUAAUGAACAAGUUCAUAAUGAAGACAAACACAAGAAUUUAACAGAUUUGCAAAGGACUGGUAUUUAUGAAGAAUUGCUAGCAAGAAGUGUCGACCGGAGAUUAAAGAAGACCACAACCAGAGAAGUUGCAAACAUGUUCCAAGUUUCAGUAUACAAGGUCAGACGCGUUUGGAGGAGGGUGAAGGAGUGUCUUCGACAAGGCAUACCCGUUGAUGUACGAUCAAGGAAGCCCAAAAAUUGUGGUCGCAAAAGGAUUGUAGUUGACCUUGGUAGGGUUCCAGAGAUUCCUCGGAGUCAAAGGAGAACUAUACGUAGUCUUGCAAGGGCUUUGGGUGUGAAGAAAAGCACAUUACAUAGGAUGUUUACGGAAGGCUUGCUAGAUAGGCAUUCCAGCUCACUCAAGCCAUAUUUGAAGGAAGCAAACAUGAAGGCUAGGCUGCGGCAUUGUCUCUCUAUGUUUGACACGCAAAGUUUGCCAAAUAAGCCCACAUUCAAGGACAUGCGUAACAUAUUACAUUUAGAUGAAAAGUGGUUUAACACCACCCAAAAGACCAUGAAAUUCUACAAGAUGCCAUCAGAAGAAAACCCACAUAGGACUGUGCAAAAUAAAAACUCCAUUGGAAAAAUAAUGUUUUUGGUUGUAAUAGGCAGGCCUAGAUAUAAUGCAGAAGGUAUUUGCAUUUUUGAUGGAAAGAUAGGCAUUUGGCCGUUUAUCAAAAAGGUGAAUUUCAACCUUUACUCUUUUAUUUAUUAGACACAUCCAUACUUAAUCUAACUUGAGUUGCGUUGUUGGUUGUAGGAGCCAGCGCCAAGGAAAAGUGAUAAUCGUCCAAGAGGGACGUUGAUCACAUGUCCCAAGUAAUGACCCAGGUUUUCUUAGUGUCGUUGCCCAAACUGGGCUUGAUAUUCGCCUCAUGCAACAGCCUGCGAACUCACCGGAUAUGAACGCUCUAGACCUUGGCCUAUUUUCUUCACUACAAUCCAUGUCAGAUAGGCUAGUCUCUAAUAAUUUAGAUGAGCUAAUCAACAAUGUGCAGCACGAAUAUCAUGCUUAUGAUGCCGAUAAGAUAAACAGGAUUUUCCUUACACUACAGAGUUGCUUAAUUGAGGUAAUGAAGAUAGGUGGAGGCAAUGACUACAAGAUCCCUCACAUGUACAAGGAUGGCCUAGAGCGUACAGGAAAUCUACCUGAUGUUUUAGGGUGGGAUCGCGAACUCUAUGAGAGCGCCAUGCAGAUCAUAGCCGACUAGAAGUUGUAAUAGUUCUUGCUUCAAUAGUCAAAGUAAUUUUUCAUGCCAAAUCUGUUCAAUAGUCAAAGUAAUUUUCAUGCCAAAUCUUUUCAUGCCAAAUCUGUACAGAAAGUAUAGUCACCACUUCAGAGACCAGGACUCAUUCAUCAAGAAAACACCUUAUUUAUGCAACAGAUCAUCAUAGUCAUGUCUGUCAUUUAACCACUACAGAUUGUUCAUACUUAAAAUUUUCAGGAUACACAGCCAUACUUAGAUCUCCCUCUACAUCACCACUAGGACUUGUAUUAAGUUGAACGCCAGUAACUAAAAGCCAAGAUUUGCAUCAAGCCAAACUUACAGAGCUAGUACUACUUGCUGGUCUUUUCGGCGACAUGCCCAGCACCUGCAGCCGUGGUAUCCUGGUCAGCACCAGGACGCACUCCUGCUGCCGUGCCAUCUUGCCCAGCACCUGCCGCCGCGCCGUCCUGGUUAGCCACAACACCGGCUUCACCAUCACCCACUGCAUCCUCAUCCGGGUCGACAAUCUUGGCUCCGACACCGAACCGACGCCGCCGACUGACGUACGAGGGCGAGGGCGACCACGGUCGGAACCUGCCUGGACGCGCACGGACGGGGCCCCCAGAACCAGAUCCGCUGCGGUCGCGUGCUGCGCCGCCGGCCGUCGCGAUGGCCUUGACUAGCUUGCCAUCGCCGGAUUUCGCUCCUCCGCCCUCUGCUCCGCCUGCCAUGGCUCCAGUGCGAUGGACGCCACCUCGCCGGCUGUUUAUAUGGACGGGAUGCCAUCGAUUUGGGGUGAGAGGGGGAGGCCCUGGAUUGGAGGUUGGACCGACGGUGAUUUGGGAUUGGAUCGGAGGAGAGGAUCGUUGGGGGAGAGGAAGAGGAUUGGGGAGUUUGCGUGUGGUGAUUCAGUUGCGCUGGAGUGAUGCUCGAGGCGUGGACCAGGGGGGCGAAUGCAAAAGUACCCAGCGCAACGAAGACGUACACUUAUUCUGGGAAAAACGCUGGCCUCUAAACGUCCA